rnacentral:lncRNA from 1 species
AUAAAUCCGCAAAAAUAACUGAGAAAAAGAAAAAGAAAAUGGCUGCCUGUUUACGACCUCUGUUCUUAGCAAUAAUAUCCCUGCUGAUGAUAUCUUCAUUGACCAGGUCCUCAGAAGGCGCUGGAAUCGCAGUCUACUGGGGCCAAAAUGGCAAUGAAGGAAGCCUGGAAGAGGCCUGCCGUAGUGGCUACUAUGACUAUGUAAAUAUUGCCUUUCUGGUAUCCUUUGGCAGUGGCCAAACACCGGAACUGAACUUAGCUGGCCACUGUAUCCCGAGCCCAUGCACCUUCCUGAGUUCUCAGAUAGAGGUUUGCCAGAGCCUGGGCAUCAAAGUGCUCCUUUCUCUUGGUGGAGGUGGUGCCGGGGCAGGGAGAGGACCAAUCCUGGCUUCUCCCGAGGAUGCUCGCGAUGUUGCAGCCUACCUCUGGAACAAUUACUUGGGCGGUCAAUCAGACUCUCGCCCACUUGGUGCUGCUGUUUUAGAUGGUAUAGACUUUGACAUCGAAUAUGGAUCGAACCUGUACUGGGAUGAUCUCGCCCGGGCACUCUCGGGAUACAGCACAGCAGAGAGAAAGGUGUACUUAUCUGCAGCACCACAAUGCUUCUUUCCUGACUAUUAUCUUGAUGUUGCUAUCAGAACUGGCCUCUUUGAUUUCGUCUGGGUGCAGUUUUACAACAAUCCGCCUUGUCAGUAUGGUACAAGCACAGGCAAUGCCGAUAACCUCUUGAACAGUUGGAGUAAUGAUUGGGCCCCCCAUCCAGGCGUUAAUAAAUUAUUCCUGGGAUUACCUGCAGCCCCUGAGGCAGCACCUAGUGGCGGUUACAUCCCACCUGAAGUGCUAAUUAAUCAGAUUCUUCCCGUUGUGCAGAGCUAUCCCAAGUAUGGAGGGGUCAUGCUUUGGAGCAGAUUCUAUGACCGAAACUACAGUCCAGCAAUCAGGCCUUAUGUUAACGGUGAUCCUCUGACUUAUACAACCAAGUCCGUGAAAAAAUCCCAUGCUGUAGCAUGAGUUCCUCUCAUUAUCUGCCACGAGAUGAAAUGUAGUCCUGGCUGCUUAUGCCAGAGACCAAUCUACUAAUGAAUAAUGGGCUAUGAGUUCCCCAAUCGAUUAAAAUGUUCUGUAAAUUUCUUCCCGUUUUAAUCGCUCUUUCUCUCUCUCGAAUGAAGGGGUACAAGAUCUAGUUUGAAGAACCAGUUGCACCUUCUCUUUUUUCUUUUUCUUUUUUUUUUUUUUAAUACAACUUCUUCUAGAUAAUGAUUUUUUGAUAAUAUUCAAACCACAUUUAAAUUGAAAAAGAAAAUGUUAAUUUGCAAUUGAAGUUUGAGGAACACUAUUUCCCCUCAUAUUUCAGUGCAUUACAUGGCCAACAACCUCAGAUGAUAUGCAAAUAAACUCUUGCAUGCAUGCUCAUCAAAUUUCAUAUACAAUUUUGUAGCCUACAGAGAAGUUUACGCAUGGAUGUUUAAGUAUCAGAUAAGCUUGGGCGAAGACCAAAUUUUGUGUACUAUUGAAACAUGGAACAAGAUUUCAAUCCCAUACAUAACCUCUAAAAUCACAUACAACUAUAAUUUUUGUUUCUUGUUUUUUUUUUUUCCUUGGAUGGUAUUAAAAGGUGUACAAUCUGUCUGCCUCAGAAUCACUUCCGGUCAGUGCGAGUCACUUUGAGAGUUAUGACAAUUUCACUAACCUCCCAUCAAAUCUAGAAAACAACAAUUACCUCCCCUCUUCUUAGAUUUGGUCUAAUGAUUUCAAGGUAUUUGGUAUACAUUGCCUUCUCAUGACCCACAACAAAGGGACAGCAAUCCAAGGGCUUUCGUUUUUAUUAAUUUUUUUGGAGUACAAAUUAAUUUCUCAUUAGCAUGUUAUGAAGCAUAUGAUAUUCUUGUUCGCAACAAUUUCUUUCUACGAAAAAAAAAGAACAGAGAGAAGGGGGGAAAAAAAGACUCAACUGAUGAACAUUUAAAAUGGAAACUCAUGUCCAUCCAUAAAUUAUGACAAGCUUGGUAUCUUAAAGAGAGGCGUCCUUGGGUUUAUAUUAUUUAACCAAAAUUGGUUAAAGUAAUAAGGUUGGCUUGAUUAAAAUUAUGUUUAUCAUAAUUGGGUCAUUUCUUAAAAUAUUGGCCUUAACAAAGAUGAUCCAUUCUUGAAAUUUGCGUUCUAGUAAAGCCAUUCUUGGGCAGAUGAUGACUAAGACUCUGUUUUUUGGGCUGAAUGAAACGGACGAUGCUUCAAUUUGAGGGAAAAAAAUAGGCCUUGCAUCAUGAAAUCAGUUUAUUAUUUAGCCACCAAAUAAGUAUAUUGAAUAGUUUGGAUUUUAUAACUAAUUAUAAGUAAUUGUGUCUUAAUUUUAGCUAUAAAAGUCUUUCACUUAACUAGUUAACUUAGAACACAUAUGAUGACUUCUUCCCUUGUCUCUAAAAUUUGUGAAAUUGGGCUCACAAAGAAGAUACUAAAGAAUAACAACCUUCAUUGGGAGCCGAGUACAAUUAUUUCAAAACAGCGCGCAUUACAUUCACAAAUCUGUCAAACUUUAUCUUCCAAUGCCCAAUAAACUACUGGUAUCCAAGUCCAAGAUUGCUCCAAAAUUCUAACCCUGCCCUUUUUCACAAAAUUUCAGUUUAGUCCAAAUGGAUUCUACACUAUGGUGCAACCACACAGUACAAAGGAAAGUUAAGGGAAAGCUUAUAAACGAGUGCAUGGUACGGUCUUAAGACUUCAGCCCAGACAUACUCUUAUGUUAUGUCAUAUGUAAAGGAAAAUAACUCAAAUUUUAGGCUCUGAAUCAUAUGUGAGUAGGCCUGCUUUUCUUUUAGUGCUUUAGUUUUUUUUUUUUGGUUAAAUUAUGGAAAUUACCACCUACUCAAUAUGGUCUUUUCUAGAGCAAUUCAUGGUAAUUAUCGAGUCUGAAACUACCAAAAAUUAGUACUGCUAAAGCUAUGUUUCAUAACCCUAAAAUACACCAAAGUCCAUACAUAUUACUAGGGGACUUUAUAUGUAAAAUUUAUAUAAACAAAAUAAGAUCUCAAAAUGAAGUACUUCAUAGGUAUGAUAAAAUUUAUAUGUUUCUAUUGAGACAAUUAAGCUGAGAAGUCUUUCACAACAAAUCUCUUUGAGGACCAGUUUCCCUCUCCUCACCAUAUCUCCUUACCUACUAACCUUCGCACGUUUUACCGUCUGUCCCAAGCCCGCCUCCCUCACACUCUCUUUUAGGAGAAUAAAAUUGUUUGAGAGCGAAAGCUCCCAUAUAUCAAAAGCCAGUGCUGUUCAAAUGUGUUUUCUCUCACCAUCUCCCACAAGAAGUGCGUGUUAAUACCAAUCACCUGAAUAAUAUGAAUAUGAGAAUGAACUCCUAAUGUCAUCACAAGAAUUGGUGGUAGUUCGGCUGGAGUAUAACAGUAAUACUUGUGGUAGUUGGGUUGGGGCAGGACAUAUGCAUAGUAGCUUUUGGUAGAUGAUAAAUAUAACACCUUUACCAUUUUUGUUAACAUGGUAUAUUUAUUCUUUUUCCUCUCUAUUCGAUAUUUGUUAAUUGUUAUACACUUAUACAUAGAUAGCAAGUGAGAAAGGGUCAGGCUAGUUUCAGAUAACGUGAAUAAUGUGGUUUACUUUCACUUAGUCACUCAUCGCACAACUCCUACUUUACUUCCUAUUUUGGUGGUAAUGUUCCCCAAACAUUACUUAUUGAGUAAUAGAUAAAAUUUAAUCAUGGCAAGAGCAUUUUUUUUUCGGACAUGAUAAAUCUACUCUACUCUAUACUAUGGGGAGGGGGUGAUCCAACGGGCCCAAGGGGAGGAUCCGGGGGGACUGAACUUGGGUGCCUACUAGUGUGAAUAAGUUAGAAAAUAUUUCUCAACACCCACUACCCUUAGGGGCUAGUAGUUGAGGCAAGGUCAAGUUAGUAUUUCACCAAGAAUUUGAUUUCUAACUACCAAGUUAAUAACUAAACAAUGUUUGUGUUUGGAUUACACAUUAUUUCCACCUUAUUUACACACACUGACUUGCUUAUAUCACCAACACAUUUUUUAAUCAUAUUUUUAUCUCACAUACAUCACAUCAAAAAAGUGUUACAGUAUUUUUUCACAAAAUUAUCUCAAAUAAGUUACUAUCCAAAUUGCUUAUGAUAAAAUAUUCCAUCUUCACCAAUUUUUUUUAGAAAGGGUUUUUCUUUGCCUUAUGACCAGAAGAAAAGAGCUCCAACCUGUUCUACCAGUAUGGAGCCAACCCCUUCGUUUCGUCAUGUCCCUAACUUAACUAGAUUGACCGGGGCACAAAGAGUUUACACUAGGGCUUCUAGUUCACAUGUUCUCUUUGCAAUCAUAGCCUUCUUGUCUCCAUCGGUUCCUUAGAAAUAGUCUUAUUGAUUUACUAGAAAUACACCCACUCAGGAAAGCCCGACUAAUCGCGGCAGGAGCCAUACUUAAAAGUAGCCGGUGGUGUUUCUAUGAUCAUAUACGUAAUUAUGGAGUAUUGAGUUAUGAGCUUGAGGGAACUCCAAUUAUUAAACAACGAGUGAAGGGACUAUCGGGUGAUAGGCCCAAACGGUAGUCUUAAUCUCCUCUUAAAGUCUAUUUAAGAGUCCUUGAAUGCACAACACUCCUAUAAAUCAUAUAAUCUAUUCCUUAUAUCUUUUACAGCUGCUUAAGGAAGUCUUUAUUCUCCCCCCGAGAGGGAUUAAGAGGGGGGGGGGGGGUAGUGGUCCAAUCUUGUCUUUUCAUUAGAGCUUUUUUUGUUUUUCUCUUAUUUAAAGUAUACCACAUUAGAGAAAGAGAAAACUCCCUCUAAAGGGCUUCUUUCUUGUAGGAUCCUAUAAGUCUCAUACUAACCCCUUAUAGCUGUAAGCUAUUAGCUCCCCUCUCCCUUUACUGGGCAGAUUAUCACUAGCCGCUGGGCGAGGGCCUCACUCUGCUAGUUUUCCACCUAGUAGGGUAUGGAGCUCUAUUCUUCAGAUUCAGUCUCCAAGGCCGCUACGAAGCUCUAGGAGGGCUUUCUAGUGUAUGCCUUGACUAUUUGAACCUCAUAAAACACAAGAAACUGAAAGAAAAAUAUUUACGCAGCGGAAUGAGCAAACAAUUUUUGCUUUUUCUUUCAUUCGAUGUUAUUGCUCGAAUCUGCAAAUUGAUACAGGCCUUGAUAUUUCAAAAACCAAUAAGUACUUACUUGUUUGGACGUGUAUGCAAUGCCCUCUGCUAGUUUUCCACCUAGUAGGGUAUGGAGCUCUAUUCUUCAGAUUCAGUCUCCAAGGCCGCUACGAAGCUCUAGGAGGGCUUUCUAGUGUAUGCCUUGACUAUUUGAACCUCAUAAAACACAAGAAACUGAAAGAAAAAUAUUUACGCAGCGGAAUGAGCAAACAAUUUUUGCUUUUUCUUUCAUUCGAUGUUAUUGCUCGAAUCUGCAAAUUGAUACAGGCCUUGAUAUUUCAAAAACCAAUAAGUACUUACUUGUUUGGACGUGUAUGCAAUGCCUGAUACAGAUGCUUGAAUUCCAGCAAUUAGCCUUCCACACGUUAGGCCUCUAGUUCGUCCACACAGACUCAAAACUAAUAGAUUGCUGAAUAUUGGAGUUUUUGUUUUGGUGGUGAUGAAAACAACGGUAGUCAACCACUUUUGUCAAUAGGGCAUAUAUAUAUAUAUUUACGAUUGUUUUUGAUUAGAUCAAUAUCAGAUCAAUAUCUUAUUUGAUCAAAUCAAAACAACCGGUUUAUAUAUAUAUUUUAUUCUUAUUUUGAUCAAAUCAAAAUAGAAUACAUCUAAUACCAUUAUUUAACUCACGUUUUAGUUUUUGAUCUUAUCAAAAUAUAAACAUAAUUAAUAUAAUUAUAUUAACUAUUAUUUUCAUCUUUAUGAUACUUGAGUCAUACUCAAAUACUAACUCCAAAUUCCGUCUAGCUUGGGUUUCAAGAUGUGCUAGCAUCCUUAUCAAAAUAAAAACCCAUUCUAAACAACUUCCCUAUUAAUUCAAAUCCUUUUGUGUGUGACUAUCUAGGUUCAUUACCCAGUUGGCAAUGCAAUAAACGUUAGCCUAUUAACAUUAGUUAGAACAUUUCUAACACUUGAGAAGUUCUCCAAAUAUACCUCAAGUUAACAUAGUUCAUGAGUGAUGCCUAGCAGCAUAUCAUGACACCCAACCGGUGAUGAAAGAUUGGAAUCCUUUUAUGUGAACCAUGAUUGCAAUUGUUUUGCAUAAAAAACCUUCCAUUACUAUAUCCCUAUUGAGUUCAGUUUAGUAAUAAUGUCAAACUCUAAAACUCAAUCGUAUGUCUUAAUCUAUCAAAUUACUUGACUAUAAAAUUGAUCAUCUACAUGAAUCAAUUUGUCUUGGCCAAGAACUCCUUUAGUCAAGAUCGAUAGAUUUCAUAAGAUAUCAAACCAUUCAUGAUGGAAUAAUAGAUCCCUUUUGCAUAAUCACUUGGCUCCAUGCAUAACUAAUUAGAGGUACCAUAUGCUAAUACUCAUCCGUGAUUAGAACAAGUAUUUUCAGCAUUGAUAGACUUUAACCACCCAUGAAUGAGCCAAUCGUGUUAUCUCAGGUCUAAGGAUCACAUGCACCAUUGCAAUCAAUAAUGAAUCAUUGACAUUAAUAAGCUAAUGAUUCAUUAUUUAAUUAGUCAGUGUUCAAGCCAACUUGUCACACAAGUGCCUCUCAUAUUUAUUCUAGUAUCACAUACUUAAUGGUAUGAGACUCGCCAUUCUAUUAUCAUUAAUAUCCCAUAUUAAUCAUAGAGGAUAAAUAUGAGACUAAUCUUCCGGAUUAAACUUGCCCAAUUAAUAAUCCUAUGAUUAGGAACAAUUUAAUAUUAUUUGUACCAAGUUUUUCCGUUACUCAUAUUCUCAUCACAUGAGAAUGGAACCUUAACAAAUAAUAAGGGACAACAUUCAAUCAAAUCUAAACCAAGAAUAAUUGAAUCAAGAAGUGCCAUUUUAUUUUAAUCAAGACAAUAAUUAUUAAUACUCUAGGGCAUACUGCUAACAGGCUCCCACUUGCACUAGAGCCAUUCAAUACAAUAUUUGAGUCCCAUCUUCUCAAGAUGGUGAUCUAACUGUCGUUGUGUCAUGGCCUUAGUAAGCGGAUCAGCUACGUUAUCAGCUGAAGCUAUCUUGUGCACGGUGACAUCACCUCUUCCGAUUAUCUCUCGGAUAAUAUGGAAACGACGCUCAAUAUGUUUGGACUUCUGGUGAGACCUCGGUUCCUUAGCCUGAGCUAUUGCACCAUUAUUGUCACAGUAGAGAGGUACCGGCAAUUCAAUGGUAGGAACCACUCCUAGUUCUGUGACAAACUUUCUCAUCCAAACAGCUUCCUUUGCUGCAUUUGAUGCAGCAAUGUACUCAGCUUCCGUAGUAGAAUCAGCAGUCGUAUCUUGUUUGGAACUUUUCCAACUCACUGCUCCUCCAUUACAGAGAAAAAUGAACCCAGAGAUAGAUUUUCUAUCAUCUACAUCUGAUUGAAAAUCAGAAUCUGUAAAACCAUCUAGUCUUAAAUCACCUCCUCCGUAAGUCAAGAUCAUAUCUUUAGUCCUUCUUAAGUACUUAAAGAUUGCCUUGACUGCACCCCAGUGUUCUAAACCUGGAUUAGACUGAAACCUGCUAGUAACACUAACAGCGUAAGCUAUGUCUGGUCUUGUACACAACAUUGCAUACAUUAGACUUCCAAUUGCCGAAGCAUAUGGAAUCUUAGCCAUUCUUUCUCUAUCUUCAGAUGUCUGAGGUGACAUCUUUUUCGAUAGGUGAAUGCCAUGUCUAGCAGGUAACAGUCCUUUCUUAGAUUCAAGCAUAUUGAAUUUUUUCAAUAUCUUGUUUAUAUAAAGACUUUGGGAUAACCCUAUAGUUCUUUUCGCUCUAUCUCUAUAGAUACGAAUUCCUAGAAUAUAGGUCGCUUCUCCCAAAUCCUUCAUAGAGAAGGUGCUUGAUAACCAUAAUUUUACAGAACUAAGCAUCCCUAUGUCAUUGCCCAAUAAUAAGAUGUCGUCAACAUACAAAAUUAGGAAAGUGACUGCACUCCCACUGACCCUUUUGUAAACACACGGUUCAUCCUCAUUUCUAAUGAAACCAAACGUUUUGAUUGCAUCAUCAAAUCGGAUAUUCCAAUUCCUCGAAGCUUGCUUAAGACCAUAGAUGGAUCUCUUAAGCUUGCACACUUUAUGUUGCUCACCCUCAGAUACAAAACCUUUGGGCUGAUCCAUAUAAACGUUUUCCUCAAUGUAACCAUUAAGAAAAGCUGUCUUGACGUCCAUCUGCCAGAUUUCAUAGUCAAGGUACGCUGCUAUGGCUAAUAGAAUCCUAAUAGAUUUGAGCAUGGCUACAGGCGAGAAAGUCUCCUCAUAGUCUAUUCCCUGCCUUUGGCGAUACCCUUUCGCCACUAGCCUAGCUUUGAAGGUUUCGACCUUGCCAUCAGAACCAAUCUUUCUCUUAUAGACCCAUUUGUUCCCUAUAGGUAUUAUACCUUCGGGUGGCUCCACAAGUUCCCAGACUUGGUUUGUGUACAUCGAAUCCAUUUCAGAUUUCAUAGCUUCUAGCCAUUUUGAGGAAUCUAUAUCAGAUAUAGCUUCUUCGUAAGUAGUAGGAUCAUCUGUAUGAUCAGUGUCUCCAUGUAUGAACAAUUCUUGCAUAUUCUCAUGGAGAUACCCGUACCUUUGAGUAGGACGAGACACUCUACUAGAUCGUCGAGGCUCUUGUGUUGUGACAUUGUUAUCAAUGGACAUUGGCUCUUUACCAGGCACAUCAUUCCUUUCCUGAUCAUUUUGUUGCUCAUGUGAAAUUUCAUUAAGCUCUAUCCUCCUUCCAGCAGCACCUUCUUGAAUAAAUUCUUUUUCAAGGAAGGUAGCAUUUCUACUGAUGACAACAAUUUGUUCAUCUGGAAGAUAAAAUUGAUAUCCAAUACAAUCCUUUGGAUAUCCAACAAAAUGACCUUUGACAGAUCUUGAUUCCAACUUGUCUGUCUUUAGUUUCCUGAUAUGAGCAGGACAACCAAAAAUUUUAACAUGAUUAAGGCUUGGCUUUCUUCCAGUCCACAUCUCAUAUGGAGUGGUAGGGACGGACUUAGAUGGUACUCUAUUGAGUAUAUAACAUGCUGUAAGAAGUGCAUAAUUCCAAAAUGAAAUAGGGAUAUCAGUAUAGCUCAUCAUGGAGCGAACCAUGUCCAUAUAGGUACGGUUCCUCCUUUCAGAUACGCCAUUCAAUUGUGGCGUUCUUGGAGGAGUAAGUUGAGAAAUAAUACCUUGAUCUUUAAGGUAUUCCCUGAACCCAGUGUCUAAGUAUUCACCUCCUCGAUCUGAUCGGAGAGUUUUAAUACUCUUACCAAGCUGAUUUUCUACUUCAGCCUUGAACUCUUUGAAUUUUUCAAAGCAUUCAUGCUUGUACUUCAUUAAGUACACAUAACCAUACCGAGAGUAAUCAUCAGUAAAAGUUAUGAAGUAAAUAAAUCCUCCUCUAGCCACUUUGGCAAAUGGCCCACAUACAUCACUAUGUAUGAUUUCUAGAACAUCACUGGCUCUUAUACUUUGUCCCACAAAAGGCAACCGAGUCAUUUUGCCUUGAAUACAAGGUUCACAAGUUGGAUAGGGUUCAGAACCCAUGGGUUUGAGUAAUCCCAUUUUCUCCAUCUUUGAAAUUCUGUCUCCUGCGAUGUGACCCAGUCUAAGAUGCCAAAGAUGUUUUUGAUUGAGGUUAAGUUUAGUCACUACGUUUAAAUUCUCAAACUUAGUUCCAUCUUUAUCAUCAGACAUGUGGUAUAAACCAUUUUUCUUGUAUGCCAAACCAAUACAAUCAGUAUUGUAAUAAAUCCUACAAAUAUUGCCUUUGAAUAAAAAUUCAUAUCCCACAUCAGUCAAAACCGAAAUAGAAAUAAUAUUCGUAAAAGUGUUUGGCAGACAUAAAACAUUGUUUAGGAAUAAAACAUGUCCUGAAGAUAAAGCUAAAGAAGUAGAUCCUAUAGCAGUAGCAGCAACUGUUGCUCCAUUUCCGACCUUUAGGAUCACCUCGUCCUUCCCAAGGACUCUACUUUUGGUUAGUUCCUGCAAAGAUGCACAAACAUGAUAUGAUGCACCUGAGUCAAGAACCCAAGAAGUAGAAUGAGAGCUAACUGUACACAGAGGAUUGAGGAAACAUGAAAUGGUACUACCUUCAUUUGUCUUUCCUUUUCCCUUGUCCUUUAUCGACUCAAGGUACUUAGGACAAUUCCUCUUCCAAUGUCCUUCCAUUUGGCAGUGGAAACAUUUUGCACCAACCUUGAAGUUGCCCUUCUUUUUAGAGAUACCUCCUGUAGGCUUAGGAUGAGAAGAUUUAAUUGAUUUCUUCUUCUUCUUUUUGGACUCUCCAGAAGAAGAAGCAAUCAUUAAAGCCGCUUCCUUUCCGUUUCCUUUCAUCGUAGACUGAGCAGUAACAAGAUGGUUAUGAAGUUCUGAAAGCGAUACCUCAAUCUUGUUCAAGUGAAAAUUUACAAUGAAUUGGGCAAAGGAAUCUGGUAGAGACUGCAAAAUCAAGUCUGUCUGAAGGUGAGCAUCCAUGGAAAAAUCCAAGUUUUCAAGACGCUCAAUCAUAUUGAUCAUCUUGAGAACAUGAACUGACGCAUCAGCUCCUUCAGUCAGACGAGUCCUAAACAACUCCUUAGAUAUCUCAUAUCGGGCAGUUCUGGAUUGUUCACCAUACAAUUCUUGUAGGUGAAGCAAAAUAUCUUUUGCGGUCCCCAUCUUUUCAUGCUGCCUUUGCAAUUCAUUGUUCAUAGACGCUAGCAUGUAGCACCUAGUUUGCAUGUCAUCCUCCUCCCACUUUCUAAAAGUGGUUUGUUGCGGCUCAGUCGCCCCUUCAGGCAAGGGAUUAGGAACUGGAGUCUCUAAAAUAUAUCCAAUUUUUUCGGAAUUAAGAACAAUUCUUAGAUUCCUCAGCCAAUCAGUGAAAUUGGGCCCAGUGAGUGUAUUUUUUUCAAGGAUAGUUGAGAGAGGGUUCAUGGGUGCCAUAAUAUCCAAAUAUUAGAAACUGCAGAAGAUAAUAAAAUUGAUUAGCAAUUAUCCUGAUAGAUCCAAUUUGUUUUUGGCCUUUAAAACAAACUGGUCCUCCCACUAAAUUUUUCGAAUGUCAUACUUCCAAAAUGAUAAACAGAAAUCUUUAAAUGAUCUCUAGUGGGAGAUGGGAUUCUUAUAAAAUGUUUAAUAUACCUCAGGUGAUCCCUAUAUUGGUAUAAUAAUAUUUUGUAAGUGACAACUCUUUGUCAAUACAUCUCAUGUAUACCCCAACCGAGACUUGGCUCCUAAUACUUAAGACCUCAGGCGUAUCCAAUCUUGGUCCAUCAUAUUAGUUAAAUUAAAUCCACUAGACAGUAGGCAAGAUAAUUUGAAUAUUAAUUACCUCAGGCGUUUCCUAUCUUGAUAAUUAAUAUAUUAUCCUACCCACAACAUCACAUGCUUUAUAAAAUCUACAAGAAUAUCCCUUACAUCUUUAUACUACCCCAUGUGUCCACAGCCAAUAGUACAAAUUGUAAAAUAUUCUGUAGAUCUUAAUCCAGUGGAGGGCCAUGAUACAAUAUCAUAAAGUAGGUGGAUUUUCUGGUCUAAUUAUUUCGAGGUAACACUGUGUUCAUCAAAAUCCUUUUGAUGAACGUGCAUCACAUACAUAUGUCAAAAGCGAAUAAAUAAACUCAGAUAAUCAUGGAUAACAACAACCAAAAAAAAAACAACUGAAUUAGUCUUCCUGAGCCCAUGAUUAUCCUUCAUGCCAUGUAUCAAAAAUGAAAAAUUAAAUAUUUCAUAUUAAAUAAGGAAUGCUAACAUUUAUUGAAACUAUUCCAUUUAAUGCUAACCGUUUUAAUUUCAUUGCCUUUCAAAAUUAAAUCACUAACAUUUAGAUAAUUAAUUUUGAACAAAAGAUUGCUUUCAAUAAUUAAGAUUCUUAACGUUUUAAGAAUACUUAAUUAUUAGAAGGAAACCUUUUGAAAUAUAAUCUUAACCCAUUUAAGAUAAGUCCGAAACUGAAACAAUAUGAAGCCUUUGUUUAGCACCAUGGCCGAGACAGCAACUAUUGCAAUCAGCCUUCCAAUGAAACAAAUAUAAUCAAUUGCAAAUUCGAAGCAAGGUGGCUCUGAUACCACUGAAAGAAAAAUAUUUACGCAGCGGAAUGAGCAAACAAUUUUUGCUUUUUCUUUCAUUCGAUGUUAUUGCUCGAAUCUGCAAAUUGAUACAGGCCUUGAUAUUUCAAAAACCAAUAAGUACUUACUUGUUUGGACGUGUAUGCAAUGCCUGAUACAGAUGCUUGAAUUCCAGCAAUUAGCCUUCCACACGUUAGGCCUCUAGUUCGUCCACACAGACUCAAAACUAAUAGAUUGCUGAAUAUUGGAGUUUUUGUUUUGGUGGUGAUGAAAACAACGGUAGUCAACCACUUUUGUCAAUAGGGCAUAUAUAUAUAUAUUUACGAUUGUUUUUGAUUAGAUCAAUAUCAGAUCAAUAUCUUAUUUGAUCAAAUCAAAACAACCGGUUUAUAUAUAUAUUUUAUUCUUAUUUUGAUCAAAUCAAAAUAGAAUACAUCUAAUACCAUUAUUUAACUCACGUUUUAGUUUUUGAUCUUAUCAAAAUAUAAACAUAAUUAAUAUAAUUAUAUUAACUAUUAUUUUCAUCUUUAUGAUACUUGAGUCAUACUCAAAUACUAACUCCAAAUUCCGUCUAGCUUGGGUUUCAAGAUGUGCUAGCAUCCUUAUCAAAAUAAAAACCCAUUCUAAACAACUUCCCUAUUAAUUCAAAUCCUUUUGUGUGUGACUAUCUAGGUUCAUUACCCAGUUGGCAAUGCAAUAAACGUUAGCCUAUUAACAUUAGUUAGAACAUUUCUAACACUUGAGAAGUUCUCCAAAUAUACCUCAAGUUAACAUAGUUCAUGAGUGAUGCCUAGCAGCAUAUCAUGACACCCAACCGGUGAUGAAAGAUUGGAAUCCUUUUAUGUGAACCAUGAUUGCAAUUGUUUUGCAUAAAAAACCUUCCAUUACUAUAUCCCUAUUGAGUUCAGUUUAGUAAUAAUGUCAAACUCUAAAACUCAAUCGUAUGUCUUAAUCUAUCAAAUUACUUGACUAUAAAAUUGAUCAUCUACAUGAAUCAAUUUGUCUUGGCCAAGAACUCCUUUAGUCAAGAUCGAUAGAUUUCAUAAGAUAUCAAACCAUUCAUGAUGGAAUAAUAGAUCCCUUUUGCAUAAUCACUUGGCUCCAUGCAUAACUAAUUAGAGGUACCAUAUGCUAAUACUCAUCCGUGAUUAGAACAAGUAUUUUCAGCAUUGAUAGACUUUAACCACCCAUGAAUGAGCCAAUCGUGUUAUCUCAGGUCUAAGGAUCACAUGCACCAUUGCAAUCAAUAAUGAAUCAUUGACAUUAAUAAGCUAAUGAUUCAUUAUUUAAUUAGUCAGUGUUCAAGCCAACUUGUCACACAAGUGCCUCUCAUAUUUAUUCUAGUAUCACAUACUUAAUGGUAUGAGACUCGCCAUUCUAUUAUCAUUAAUAUCCCAUAUUAAUCAUAGAGGAUAAAUAUGAGACUAAUCUUCCGGAUUAAACUUGCCCAAUUAAUAAUCCUAUGAUUAGGAACAAUUUAAUAUUAUUUGUACCAAGUUUUUCCGUUACUCAUAUUCUCAUCACAUGAGAAUGGAACCUUAACAAAUAAUAAGGGACAACAUUCAAUCAAAUCUAAACCAAGAAUAAUUGAAUCAAGAAGUGCCAUUUUAUUUUAAUCAAGACAAUAAUUAUUAAUGCUCUAGGGCAUACUGCUAACAGAAAUAACAAGAAGCAAGCGAAAGAAGGAAUCCUUGGGUAAGAAUUCCGAUUGAAGCAAUAAGGAAAGUGCGGCUUUUGUUCACCUAUCAUUCUCCGAUGCGACCAAGCAACUCCCUUAGAAUAUCUUCCCUUCGAACAGCGCGACCCGCCUAUUCAACUACAAUAUGAAUUCCUCUUGCCGUUGUUGCUCUUCUUGCCCCUUUAGUGGUGAUCCUUGGAUGAGGAGCAUAAACGAGCCUUAAGAGUGCAUUAGGAGGUCUUGUUGCCUGUGCUCAAGACAUAUUUUAACACAACUACAUUCCACCCAACCUGCUAUGUAUAUACACACACUAGUAAUUACUAUUUUUUCCUACAUUUAUACACUUUUCCUAAUUAAUCUCUUUGCAUUUAUAAUCUUUUCCUAAUUAAUCUUAUAUUUUUAAAAAUCUAACACGUGAAAUACAUCUUAACAAAUAUCUUAUAUAUACCCAUUAGAUAGACCAUUUUAGAAAAAUAUCUUUGUUAGAAAUAUUGGCGGGUUUCAAACUAACUAUCUAAUGUAUCCUUAAUUUAUUCUAAUUGAUCCUUCAUGAUGAUAUAUAUAAACACCCACCCACCGCCCCCCCCCCCCUUCUCCCGGGUUCCUCCUCAAAGUCAAGGCAGUUGCGAAGAAACCAUUUUGAGUUUGUCAAGAAGAUCAUUGAAACGGUUGGGAGGAAGAGGUUUGGUGAAGAUAUCUGCAAGUUGAUCCAUAGAAGAUACAGAGUGGAUGAUCUCGCCGGGGCACUUUACGGGAUAUAGCACAGCAGAUCUAGAGAAAGGUUUACUCAUCUGCAGCACCACAAUGUUUUCUUCUUGACUAUUAUCCUGACGCUGCUAUCAGAACUGGCCUCUUUCAUUAUGUGUGGGUACAAUUUUACAACAAUCCGCCUUGUCAAUGUAGUGCUGGCAAUACCAAUAACUUCUUCGACAGUUGGAAUCCAGGGGCUUCAUAUACAGGCGUUAAUACAUUAUUCCUGGGAUUACCUGCAGCCCCUGAGGCAGCACCUAGUGGCAGCUACAUCACACCUCAAGAGCUAAUUGAUCAAGUUCUACCCUUUGUCGAGAGCUAUUCCAACCACAGAGAGCUCAUGCUUUGGAGCAAAUACUUUGAAGCUAAUUGCAAUGAAAUAAUCAGGCCUUAUGUUAACUCUGAUGUCCUGGUUCAUGGCAAAAAGUCCACGAUAAAGUCCCAUGCUCUCGAAUAAUUGAGUUGCUCUCAUUAACACUUGAUGGAUGAAAUGCAGUCCUGGUUGUUUUUGCCAUAUAGAUAAAUAAUGGGUAAUAAGUUCCCCAGCUAUGGAGGCGUCAGAUACUGGGAUGUGUCUAUUACAGUCCAGCAAUCGAGCCUUAUGUUAAACCAUGAAAACUCUGACCAGUGAUAACAAGGCCAUGGGAGUCUUCUGCCACUGAAUAAGUUCCUCUGAUCACUAUUUCAUGAGAGAUGAAAUGUAAUCCUGGUUGUUUAUGCUAGAGAUAGAUGUGAUAAAUAAAUAACGGGUUAUGAUCCCCAAGUUUAAUUGCGUAUUCUCUUGAUUUAACGGUUAGAAAAUCCGCAAAAAUCACAAAUUACUGAAUACUAGUUUGGACAACCAUGCCAGUUGCACCUCCAUUUUGCAAUGUAUAUCUCUUAAAAUUGGGAAGUAAUUACAUUUUCGGUUUGCAACUCCAUUAAAAUUUGACCAAACGAACCUGUGGUUUGAUCAAAUUAUCCCCUUAUGAGUUAUGGCUUCCAAAACCAACUAACGGAAGUGGAGAAAUGUUAGAACUACCAUCUACAGAAGAUUACAUUUAUCUCCCUUGAAAUUUAUCUAAAUAAAAAAAAGGGUCAUUAAAAUGUGAACCGAAUGCAAUUUAACCCUUAAAAUAGCCAACUGUUUAUAAAAAUAAAAAUCCCUUAAUAUUAUCAAAAGAAUAAAACCCAAAUUAAGAUAAAAUUAUCAAUUACUAUCUUCCAAGAAAUGAAAAAUGAAAGGAAAAAAAUUGAGAAAAUGUCUUUCUUUCUCGUCUUUAUCUACAUAUGGCUUAUUUUAGCCACUAAAAAACACUCUCUCUCCUUUUAACAAUUAUGCAUUUCAUUUGCAUAUCCAAUUAGGAAGAUACUAAUAUUAAGUUUAAAUAAAACUCUCGUUAAGCCAGAAAACCUUCGCUUGGCCCAUUCGAUAAUAAAUUCUUGUCCUUUAUUCCAGACAAGUGCCUUUAUUAGAUUUUCACUUUUGAUUUUCAAUUUGGUGUCUUUACGAAAGAAAAAUCCUAAAUUUUCAUGCUUAGAGAUGUAUGCAAAUUUAACAGUUUAUUUUAUGUUUUAGGAAACAAAGUUUUAUUAUUUGCGCAUGGAAGUCAAAAACGAUAUUUGAUAUCAAUUAUGUAAUAGUGGUGGUCAAGGAAACUGCAUCGACUGAAACACUUUUGUUAGUGAUGCCACGUGAUUAGAGUUUCAAUUACACUAAUUUUAAGAUGAAAGAAUCAUUGGAAAAAUAUAUAGUAAUUAAUGGGUAUUUUUAUAAACUCAAAAAUUCUGAUGUGAUUAAGUAUUAGCAAAUAUUUCUUUAAUAAAUGUUUGCGAGAAUUGCAGUUUUGGUCUCUAAUGUUUGGCGUGUGUACCAAAUUAGUCCUCAAUGUUUUAGCUAAAACAAAUCUAGUCCCAAAAAUUUGUGAUUUUCGGUAGAUUUAGGACAAUAAAUGGAAAUGAAACAAUGGCUAACAGUCAAUAUCAAAUUACUGUUAGUCAACAAGUUUAACCUUUUGAUUCCCAAUGUUUUGAUUUUGAAUCAUUAUAUUUUUCUAAUUUUUUAAAUAUUGGUAUUAAGGGUUUUGGCAUGAAUUGAGAUGCAAAUUAGAAUGAAAUAGUAUUAAAUAUGUAAUAAUAAUUUUAAUUAAAAAUAUAUUACUUCUUUUUUAAUAUUUAUUUCAUUUAUUCAUGCUAAUAAUUAUAUAUAAUUGUUUCUCGCUUGAAUAAUUAAUUUAUAAUGAGUUUUAUUAUUUUUAUUUCUAAUAACAAUUAAACAACUUUAUUAAAUAUUCCUUUAAAACACAAGAAAUAUAUUUUUUGUAAAAUAAGUUGAUCUUUUUUGGCAUUUUAAUAGGUUAUCAAUUGAGUUUGAAAUAAAGUUGACAUUUUAUACACGUUAUAUGAACCACUAGAUGAUUGUCAAGAUACAUAGAUACUAAAAUAAAUGAUUUAAAACUACAAUAUUGAAAUGUUAGAUUUUAAUGGUAGUAAAGAAAAUAAAAAUAAAAGAUAAUUUUCUUAGGAUUUGCUAAAAUUAUUUAAUAUUGAUGCUUAACUUUACUAGUUUUUAUAAAUACAACGGAUAACUCUAAGAAUUUGAAGCAUACAUGCACAAGACAUGCAACAAUUUUUGUAGUAAUAACUAUAAUAAAUUUAGAUUAUAAAACUGAAAUUCUCCUUUUCUUCCUCUACUUUAUGUUUUAUUUAUUAUUGGUAUAUUAUCAUCCAAUUAAAUUUAUUUAAUAAAGAUAGGCAAUUAUCAACUUAUGCCAUUAUGAUUUGUUUCAAUUAAUAGUGAGAAAUAAUAUAUAUACAUAUAUUAUACAAGAUUUGAGACUAGAAAUGCAAAAAAAAAAAACAUAUGAGAUAUUAUUAGUAUGAAUAAAUGAAAUAAAAAUAAAAGGGAAGGAAAAAAAGUUUAAUUAGAAUUUUUGUUACCCAUUUAAUACUAUUUCAUUCUAAUUUGCAUCUCAAUUCAUACUAAAAUUCUUAAUAUCAUUAUUUAAAAAUUAGAAAAAUAUAAUCAUUCAAAGUCAAAAUACUAAGGACCAAAAGUGCAAAGUCAAAGUUGUUGACUAAUGACAAUUUGAUAUUGAUCGUUAGUCAUUGUUCUAUUUCCAUUAGUUAUGCUAAAUCUAACUAAAAUCGCACACUUUCGGGACAGAAUUUGUUUUGGCCAAAACAUGCAUUAGGGACAAAUUUGGCAUACAAGCAAAACAUUAGGGACCAAAAUUAUAAUUCUCCAUAAAUGUUUGGCUAGUAAAACAUUGGAUUGAUUUGGAAAAACUAAAGGGUUCAUUUUUGUUAUUUGGACAAACUUCAAGAGAGGCAAAUGCAAUUUGAACAAACUUUAGGAUAGGUAAGUGCAAUUAACUCAAUUUACAAAAGGUUAGUUUGGGGGCUUUUAGACAUAUAUUUUAGUGAUGCAAGCAUCAUUUCAAUCAACAAUUAGCGUGAGGGGCGCAAUUGAUAAACAUUUUGUCAGUCAGGGGAUUUGACUAUAAUCUGGUCAAACUGCAAGAUAAAUUUUGUACUUUGACACCUCGAGAAAGUAGGUGUAAUUAACCUUAAAAAAACCGAGUGUUCUUAUUGUCCGAAUAUUAUCCAAAUGAGAUAGCACUAUCUCAAGAAAAAUACAUGUAUCCAUUCUUAUACCUUCACCUAUGUAUCCACUUUUGACUUAUAAUUAAAGGUAACAUGGCUUGUUUUAACCUAUUGAUUGUACCCUCCACCUAUCUCUCUCUUUUCAUUUCUUUCUGUUUCUCUUCUUCCAACCAACCUCUCCAAUCCUUCUUUCAGCCCACCCAAGUUCUCAUGAUGAACACUCUUCCCAUGCACCAUGCCUCUACCCUAAUCCAAAUAUUUACAAGUAGUGGCAGAACCAGAAUCCUAGACUCAGCAAGGCCAAAUUAGAUUAGCAUAAAAAUUGAAGUAUUAAUAGAGUUUGAAAUCAAAAAACACUUCUAUCUUAAAAGUUCAUUUUUUCUAUGUUAAAUACACUUUUAAAAAUAAUUUGCGUUAAAUUUUGCAAUGAAAAUUACAUUUAAAUUUACAUCUAUAUUUAACUUUUGGUAGGUUUAAUACUCUUGUGAAGGAUAACAAUUAUGGAAUUUUAAUUAUUUAGGGGGCAAUGUAUGAUAGUAAAGAGAAUUCUAAAAAUUUUAGGGAGGACAAAUAAGAAACAAUUUUGAAAAUUUCUAAACAUAAAAUAUAAUUUUCUCAAAAAUUGCACCCCCUCAGCAGUAUGUGGCUUUGCCAUUGUUUAAUUACAAGCUUUCCUUCCUCCCUAUUUUCCUAUAUUGUGUUUACAUUUUUGAAGUACUUGUAUAUUUCAUAUAUAUCACAUUGCAAAAACUACAACAUUAUAAUUCUAAAAAAAUUUAAACUAUAUGUUUCCAAACGCAGCCUUGACUUUUAGUUAUUGAGUCUUAGUUUGAAUAUGAAGUCAACAGUUUCACUUUGUCUCAACGCACCUAUAGGAUUUAAGUAUAGGUUUUGAAACCGUAGGAGACUUUUGUGUCUUGUCCAUGAACAACAGGAGGAUAAAGUUAAUUCACCUCUUUUUUUUAAAAAAAAGAUAGAAGACUAUGCUAAUAUUUAUAUUUUUAUUGUGAGUCAGGGUAUUUUUCAAAGAUAAUUUUAUUUAAUUGGGUUAACAUUUCUAGGCAUUGAGAAGGGUUAAGAAAUCAUAAAAUUGUAAGUUAAUUGUAAAAAAUAAUAGUAGGAAUGAAAUGCCAAAAAUGACUAUAGUUUAGCCAAACCACAAGGUAGAUUUUGUAAUUUGACCAAACCUCGCGGGUAGAUUUUUUUUUUUUGGGAUAAAUCAGGGGUAGAUUUUAUUGUCCGACUAUUAUAAUUUAUAAUGGACCAGAGUAGAGAUUAGUUGUUACAUUUCCAACUUUUUUGCAUGGUCACACAUUUCCGACUAUUAUAACCUCAGGUGUUUUUUUUUCCUUUCUCAUUUUGGAUUAAUCUUCAAUAGAGGAAACAACUUUCUGGCUUGAUAAAUAUGUUAUGAAAAUAGAUUUUUUAAAUUAAAUAGGGACUACUUGUCCUGUAUUCAGAUAUGCCAUUGUAAUAGAACUUUGGUAUACUUAGAUAGUAUAUUAUUUAGGAUAAUUUUUUGACAAAAAUAUUGUGUUGACCUUGGUCGAUCAAUCCUUGGUUUUGAUGAUUAACAAACCAAAAUAUAGAUUUGGGCUAAUGUUUUUAUGUGAGUAAUUUGUUAGAAUAGAUUCUUGUGGCAUAAAAGAAGAAGCAAAAACAGGGCACUCAUGUCGGACGCUAUCGGAUGUCCGAAAGGAUGAAGAACAUCAAGAAGGAAACUCUGUCGGACGCUCAUGAGGAAGCAUGGGACGUCCGGAAGGAUCGGACGCACGCCUCGGACGCACAUCGAUCGCAUCGGACGUCCGAGAAAUUUCGCAAAGAUUUGAUGACUCUCUGACGACGUUCGGACGCAGGGUUCGGACGUCCGACAGGUGGUUUGGACGCAGGGUUCGGACGUUCGACAGGUGGUUCGGACGUCCGACAGACCAACGGCUAGUUUUGACAGCAUUUAAUAUUUGACCGUUGGAGAGCCUUUUGGAGUCAUUUCUCACCUUCUAUAAAAACCCCAAAGCACAAGAAGACAAGAGACUUUUGCCAACACAAAAUACAAGCUUACAAGUGAGAUUUUUGAGUAGAAAGAUUCUUUGUUGGUUGUAUAAGGUUGGGAAAGUUGGGUUGUGAGGUUGCUCAAGUGAAGGUUACUCUCUAGGAGGAGUAAAACCUUGGUGAAGAUAAACCUAUCACUUGGAGUGGUAAAACCUUGGUGAAGGUUGCCUCAUGUGUAUAAAAUAGUUCUUAAUUGGGUGAGUGAUCUUUCAAGUGUAGGUUGUUGAGGGUUAACUAGUAUAGUUGUAAAACUCCUUGGCUCAACCAAAGAGUGUUUGGGGUGAGGAAGGAGUGAGCCUUCACUUGUACAUCUUGGUUAGCAUCGCCAUCUAUUGAAGAGGCUAUUGGAUUGAUAUUUGGUUUGCAUUUUUUAUCUUUUCUCUUUAAUUAAGUUUUCUUUAUUGUGCUUAAAUUUGAUAUAUCUUUGUGUAUCAUUGUGAAUUUGUUUGUACUCAUUGGGUUGCACCGGGCACUUACAUAUUGUGAUAAUUUUUUGACAAAAAUAUUGUAAAAAGAUGAUUGAAAAAUGAUAAUUUUUUUGAUAUGAUAUAUGUCAGAUAAAAAGAUGAUUGAAAAAUUUGUUGAUGAUACAAACAAAUACAAUUUGACAAAUAAUCUACUAUCCAAACAAAGACUAGAUUUUCUAUGUGCAAAUAUGCUAGGGUAACCGAUUCACAACGCAUUUGAUAAAGCGGUUAUUGAGCACAUUUUGCACUAUUAUUCUGCCCUAAUUUUGGCUACUCAUGGUGCUAAGAAUUGGGAAUUUGCUCAUAUUUGAUAUUUGUGUAAAUUGUAGGUGGUUGCUGUUAAAAGUAAUCUUUUGAGGCAAUUUCCAGAAGACCCUUUAUUUUAGGACGUGCCCACGCCAGAAAUUAUAGAGGGCUACCCAAAAACCGGACCCGCGAGCUUGGUAACAGUAGGAUAACCAAUUAAGGAACUAGGUCCGCGUGGACCAGAUGCGUGGGAUUAGAACCCUUAGACAAAGCUUGCUCCUGAUUUGACUCCUACGGGCGGCGCUACAAAUAAGAAAACAAGCUAGAUUCGCGGGGAAUCAUCUACCUUAGCUUUAAUUUUCCUUUUUUCACAUCUGUCAGACAUCAAAGAAUUUUUCCUUGUUUUUUUUGGCUUUUACGUUUUGACUCUUUUGCUUUUGCUUUGGAUCUGUACAAUUUUCAUUGGCUUUGGCAUUGAACUUUCGGAUCCAGUACGGACUCCAAUGCAGAGACAAGCAAGACUUUUCACUUUUUCUUUCUUUGUUAUUUCAUCGGUCCAGAUUCUUUGAUGUUUGUGUGGAUGAAAUCAAUUAAAUUGCGCGAGAUUGAUAUGACGAGGAGCGGCUAAAUUCCCCUUCUACCCAAGGGUUAACGCGAAGGCGCGGUCCAUAACAUCUGUGAGAUCUAAUCGAAUUUUCACUAUUUCGUCCAAUUCGUUACUAUUUAUGUGUUUCCUGAAUUAAUUGUUCAUGGGUAUUUUAUUAAUUGGGUAUCAGCGGCCGGAUAUUUAAUUUAAUAUAAUAGCCUAUUGGUACAUUAAUUAAAUUGAAUCCGUAAUUGUUCGUUUAGUUGACAAAUAGUGACAACCACCAUAAUUGGUUUUAUGUUGGAGAAACACAAGAUCUAAUUUAAAUAAACUCUCUUAGCGUGUUUAUUGGUUAGGGUUGGGUUUUUCUAGUUUUAAUGCAACUGGAUAACUAAAUUCCUACGGUCGUACCUAGGGUUGUUUUCUGGUUAGAGAAGCAGUCAAUGAUCGUAGUUUGACUGUCGAAAAAGUAAGGAAGAACUGGUUGUCAGAUCUUAUUGAUAACUAUAACCAACCUAGUGACGGAUGGAUGAAAUAUCUUUGCAUCGAUGAUCAUUUAAUUGGACCGUGCCUGAAAACUUGAUUCUUUGGGUAGAAUUUUAUUAAUUGCUAUUUUUAGUAAAUUGUACUUGUGGAGUUAUCUUUUGAAUUUUAUUUAUUUUAUUUUCGUUUCCAUCCCAUUAAUUAUCCCCUAAUUUUAUUCUAUUGAUUUAAAAAGAAACAACUUCCUACCCGUUCCCUGUGGAAUCGACCCUACUUGCCAUUGUACGCAAAAUUAAUAUUUUUAUAGACAAUUCAGGUAUAUCGGACCAAGCAAACUCUUCGGGAAUAGGGUAAAUCAAGUAAUCCAUUACACAUUUAGGGUCCCUACUCUAGUAUUUGGAUUUGUUCUAUAAUUAAUUGUGAUGGUAAUUAGGACUUUUUAGUAAUUAUUAUUGCACAGGUUCGGUAUCUGUCAAUUUUUGGCGCCGUUGCCGAGGAACGGUAUUUUGAUUAAUUUUGUUUCUUUCUAAGUUAUUUUCUUUGGAUUUGUCUGACAUUUUUCUAGUUUAUGCCUCGUUCUUCUCAUACAGGAGAAUUGAUUUUCGAUCCGGAAGUAGAGAAGACUUCGUGUCAAACUAGAAAAUAGACUAGGCAACUCAGAGAGGAGCAAUCGAGCACUGCAUCUCAGGAACUGGAUCCUGAGAUUGAAUCAGCAGAUUCGAGUGGUGAAAAUUCAAGUGACCCAGGCCAAGAAGACAUCCCUAUGGCGAAUGCAAGAACACUAAGGGAGUUGGCUGCUCCGGAAUUGCCCCAGCAGCCGCUGUGCAUCACAUUUCCAACUCUAGCUGAAAAUGCCUCAUUCGAACUAAAGUCGGAGUUGAUUCACCUUUUGCCCACAUUCCAUGGCCUUUCGGGGGAGGAACCCCAUAAACACAUUCAAAAGUUCAAUGUGGUAUGCUCCAGUAUAAAGUCUCCAGAAAUUACUGAGGAGCAGAUCAAACUUAGAGCCUUCCCAUUCUCCCUCAAGGAUGCAACAAAGGAUUGGUUGUACUACUUACCUGCAGGCAGUGUUACAACAUGGACCCAACUGAAAAAGAAAUUUUUGAAAAAAUUCUUCCCUACAUCCCGGGCUGCAAGUCUGAGAAAGGAGAUUUGUAGCAUUAAACAGUACCCUGGAGAAUCCCUAUAUGACUAUUGGGAGAGGUUCAAUAAGUUGUGCACUAAAUGCCCACAACAUCAAAUUAGUGAACAACUAUUGAUCUAAUAUUUCUAUAAGAGGCUCCAGUCAUCCGACAGGAGUAUCAUUGAUCCUGCGAGCGGGGGAGCAUUGGCAAAUAAGACCCCGAGGGAAGCAUGGUUGCUCAUUGAAACUAUGACAAAAAAUUCACAACAGUUUGGCUUCCGCGAGAGUAACCCUACCCGUAGGGUUAACAAGAUAGAGACAUUAUCCAUUCAGCAGCAGCUAUCAGAGCUAACAUCUUUCGUUCGCCAAUUAGCUGUGGGAAACGGGCACCAAGCAAAGGCCUGUGGAAUCUGCACAAAUGUGGGUCACCCCACUGACUCAUGCCCUAUGUUGCAAGAGGAUGGGGCUAAACAUAUGAACAUGACUGGAGGCGUGCCCGCGCCUCGUAGGCAGUACGACCCACACUCGAACACGUACAAUCCGAGUUGGAAAGAUCACCCCAAUUUCAGCUAUGAUAAUAGGCCACAGAAUUCAUUCUCCAAUCGUCCACCAGGAUUUCGGCAACCAUGGCAACCAAAGCCACAACCUUUAUCAUCUAACUCAGGAAGUUCCUUGGAGGAAAUUGUCAAGAGUUUGGUCACGACUACCACUCAGCUCCAACAGGAGACUAGGGCCCUGGUCGCGAACAAUACUCAGUUCCAGUAGGACACCAGAGCAAGCAUGAAAAACAUGGAGACUCGAAUGAAUCAAAUGGCAACCGUCAUUAAUCGCUUGGAGUCCCACGUUUAUGGAAAACUACCAUUACAAUCCAAGAUAAAUCCCAAGAAUGUAAGUGCCAUGACACUAAAGAGUGGCAAAGAGGUGGAGGGACCUAAGUUGGUAAAUUCGAAAAGCAAAAAGUGAGGAGGAGAUAGAAGAGGGAGUUGAAGAGGAACGGCACAUUCGCGAAGAGUCUAAGGUAACAUCUAUUCCUUUGAUGCCUAUUAAAUCUAAUCUAGCUCCUUUUGCUUGCAGGUUGGAAAAGACAAAUAGGGCAGAAAAGGAAAAAGAAAUCCUGGAUGUGUUCCGCAAAAUUCAAGUAAACAUCCCCCUAUUGGAUGCGAUCAAACAGGUAUCCAAGUAUGCAAAGUUCUUGAAAAACUUGUACGUUAACAAAAGAAAGCUAAGGGAUGAUGAGAGAGUGAUGGUAGGAGAGAAUGUAUCAGCUGUACUUCAAAGGAAACUCCCACCCAAAUGCGAGGAUCCAAGCAUGUUUACUAUCUCCUGUAAGAUUGGAUGUUCUAAUAUCGAAAAUACCAUGCUAGUUUAGGAGCCUCUAUUAAUGUGAUGUCUAAAUCAAUCUAUGAUUCCCUAAAUUUAGGACCUUUAAAAGAAACAAGAAUAAUAAUUCAAUUGGCUGAUCGUACAUUUGCUUAUCCGGAUAGAAUAGUUGAGAAUGUUUUAGUGCAAGUAGAUGGAUUAAUUUUUCCUGCUAAUUUUUAUGUGCUUUACAUGGAUGAUAGAAGUGUCCCAAAUCCAUCACCCAUUAUAUUAGGAAGGCCAUUCUUGAGUACUGCCCAAACUAAGAUUGAUGUUAGUAAGGGUACUUUCACAAUGAAAUUUGAUGGAGAAACAGUCCAUUUUAAUAUUUUUGAUACAGUGAAACAUCCUGUUAACUCUUAUUCUGUGUUUGUUAUUCAUGCUACUGAUCCAUCUGUGCAAAAAUUUUCUGAGUUUGCUUGUAGAAGUAAAUUCAAAGUUGCUGCAAACAAGUAUCAUGGAAUGAAAGCAAUUCAUGAGGUGAAAAUGGGUAGAAAAUUAAGAAAAAAUGUUGCAUUCAAUGGCUAUUUGGAUCCCGGAGGAGGGCCACUGAUUACAAGAAAAAUUGAAUUACAUCCAAACUGAAGAGCGGUGUAUAGUGUCUAGCCAAAGACAUUAAAGAAAGACACUACUUGGAAAGCAAUCCAAGGAUUUCAAUUGUGUUCUAUUUCAUAUUUGUGUGCUCAAGACCAGUGGGUUUAGAUUCCUAUUGACAAUAUUUAUUAUAGGUCAUGGGUGUUUCUGUGUAGUUUUAUUCUAGGUUGGACGCAAAAAAAAAAAAUUUUGUGGGCAGAAGACUUCAUGUUACAAGGCGUGCCCGGGCCUUGUACUCACCGCACAUGAAUAUUUGUAAAAUUUGGUGAACAGAAGACCUCGACCUCCAAGGCAUGCCCACGCCUUCCAACCUUUGCAACAAUGAAAGUAAAAAAAAAUUGACCAGGACCUUCUCUAACCCCACUUUUCUACUUUUCUUUUUUCUUGUCUUGUCUGGUCUUUUUAAUUUCCUCUGUCUUAGUUUCUACUUUUCAAUUUCCUUUGUUUUGUCUUAGUUUCAGUUUCUUCGUUUCCUCUUUUCUUGUUAGUCUGCCGCGCACAGCGCGUCGCCGUGGCGUGCUCCUCUUACCAUACUCCUCCUACUGGGGAUUCCCAAUACUGUGCCCUCCAAGAUUCUAUCCAUGAACUAGGUGAGCAGGUUGAGGGACUAGAUGGCCGUCUUGCAGCGCUGCAGGUUUUUGCUCGCAUUCAGGUGGAGAACUAGGCAGCUUUCUUUACGCAUAUUGGAUUCACUCCACCUCAUCCUCCUCCCCCUUAGUGUCUAGCUGCAGCCUCUCGGUAGUCAAGGAAGUUUCUCUCCUUUUCUCCUAAUAUUUCAUUUGUCUUUUCUACAUUGAGAACAAUGUAGGUUUUAGGUGUGGGGGAGUAGUUCCCAUUAUUUCUUUUGGUUUCCAUUAUUUCUUUUGGCUUUGGUACAAAAAAAAACAAAAAAUGGAAAACAAAAAAAUGAAAAAAUGAUGAAAACAAUGUAGUUAGUCGGCUUUCUGUUCAUUUCUAUGUUUGUUAGUACUGGAGCAUAUUGCUAUGACGAAUUAUACAAUCAUGGUGCACAGGUAUGUGGUCAAAUAUGCUAGUUGGGCAUUUUGUUUUUGCUUUGCAAUAUCAUUGAAUGUUGAAUAUGCUGGACUUGAUCCAUUCUUAAAACUUUUGGGAGCUUUUGAGCCAUACAUGAGCACAUUAUUCUUGUUUGUUCUAUUUUUGUUUGAUUGAGUGGGUAUCACACAUGGUAUUGGUAUUCUAGAACUUGCUAUUUUGUACAUGUCGAGAUCACAUUUUGUUGAAGUGGAUGCAUUUGAAAUAAUAAGGGCAUUUAGGAUUUGACCUUCUUUAGCUUUCUAAAAACCAUGCAUUCAUCUUAUCUCCCGAUAGUGAAUCAAUUUGAAUUUUUAUCCUUCGCUUUUGUUUGUUAGUCGUGUUUGAUAACCCAUGACCUUUUUAUACUUUCUUGUUCAACCUUGUGUCAUUAAGAGAUGUCUGAAAUUCGGCAAAUAAAUCUAGGGUCGCAAGUGUUGUCAAAAUAGAUGCUGUAUGAUGUUGUUUCUGUACAUCUGAGAUCGAAAAAAAAGAAAAAAAGAAAAAAAAAGGAAAAAAAGGGGAAGAAAUUGUCAAUAAGAUGGUGAAACAGACGACUCUGUCUUACAGGGCGUGCCCACGCCUUGCAAUUACUUAACUCAACCAAAAAAAUAAAAAAAAUUUUGGCGACACUUGCACAGUGGGUGUAGCAAAUGAAACUGCCUUAUUUGUGAAACUCCUCCGGUGAAGCAUUGUGGUUAUAUGGUGGGUUUCUGAUAUUCGAGGCACAUACCGGUUGAAUGAUCCCUGGCAUAACAAAUUCCACAAGUUGCAGCAGCCAUUCUUUCAAUAAGAGAGUUUAGUGCCUCUGAAUAUGCAAACUUAGAAAAAAAACAAGCCUCAUUGUCUUCCCUGGAAACAAAAUCCAGUCUAUCACCAAAAUCCGGAGUGUUAGAAGCCAUAAACUAUAUAAAAAAAAUAAGAGAAAAAUAAACAAAAAAAAAAUGAAAACAAGAUGAACUCAAAAAGAAACAAAUUAAUCUGACACCAGUCCCCGACAACGGCGCCAAAAAUUGACAGGGUGUCGAACCUGUGCAAUAAUAAAUACCUGCUUAAAUAAAAUAUAAUUUCUGUAGAUAGUGAUAAGCAGGGUCGAAUCCACAGGAAUUGGGGAUAAUUUAUUUCUUUAGAGUCCGAAGUAUGGGGGAUUUUUGAAAAUGAGAGUAACUAAACUACUUGGAAUAAAUUAAAAUAAAAUAAAACAACUACAACUCAAAUAACUAAUUAUCACAAUAAAAAUAAUAAUGGACGAACUCUAACCAAGAGACAACUUCGGAGAUGGUUCACUUAAUUCGAUCACAGAUGCAAGGAUUAUUCCAGUUACUAUCUGAUAAAUUAGUUAUAGUUGUCAUACACGCGAUAAACAACCAACUCUUCCUCAAUUUGUCGAAAGCCAAGGUACGACCGUUGACUAUUUCUCUAAUCAGGAAAUAACCUUAGGUACGACCAUAGAAGUUCAAUUCCCUAAUUGCAUGAAUAAUUAGAAGAGCCUAAUUCUAACCAAUCAACACGCUACGAGGGUCUCUUUAAGUUAACCUGUCUAUCUCCCUGACACAAACCCAAUCAUGCCAGUUGCCACCAGUUUAGAAUAAUUAAACAAUUACGGAUUUAACUACCCUAAUUGGUUUCAGGUUAUUGAAUUAAUCUAGAAUCCGGGCCCUGGAUAAUCGAAUAAUAAAACAACCAUAUGAACAUAAAGCAGAAGAUAGACGAAUACCAGUGAAUAAUGAAAAUAAAUAAAAACUAAUUCGAUCUCACAAAUUUAGUAGAACCAAGUCCUCCGUUGUUCCUCGACUAUAUGAGAAACUUAGCCACGCCUCAUGAGAAAAUCUCCAAGUGAUUUUACUGAGGUCCAAGCCAUCAAAGGAACUAAGAAAGAAUAAAACUAAACUAUGCUAAAAACUAAGCUAAAACUAUUGAUAAGAGCUUCUGUGUAUGUUUGUUUCUCUUUUUAAAGCCAAAUGACUAAUACCUUCCCUCUUUUCUGUGGUCCCCGCACGAAUUGAGAGUCCAAUUCCAUCUCACAAGCCUUUGUACGUUUCUUUUCCAAGAGCCCAAAUGACUCAUGCUUCUUAUCUCCGUGGUCCCACGAGAUUCCCCAAUCAAAGUCCAAAAGGUAAGGCCUCUUAAUGUUUCCUCUUUUCUCGUUUCUCAUUGCUCCUAGGACUCCUAGGAUUCAAGACACUCCUCAUCAGCAAAGGAAAUGCAGUCCGCAUCUAUCACAAUGUGGGCCAGGUCUGUGGCUUAGUUGAAGUCUCAAUUGUUUCCAGAAAGUCCCUCUUUUUUUGUAAUUUUCUGCUUCACUCCCUGAAAUUGGGUCCAAUACCAAAUAUAAGUAAAUAUUAAUAAUUAAAAUAAUAUUUGGCAAGGAUAAAAGGGAAAUUAAUAAUAAAAUAACCAAUAAUUAACACCCUAUCAGUUUCGGACAUUCUCUUGACAUAUUACCCCCUAUCUAUACCUUUCUAUCCCAUUUUUUACCUAAGCCCCAUUACAACCCUAUCAAAAUUCCUUUGAUUUGUGUAUUUAGUUCAUUUUUGAGUGGUGGAGAUGUGAUAAAUGUGCAAACUUAUGGUAAUGUCAUUCCGUGAUGUUGAUUUGAGCGUUCCUAGUAUUCAUACAUUUUUUUUGAAUUACCACCUGUCCGGUGUGUUCUAAUUUUGGCAAUAUUGUCAGGAAUGCGGGAUGUUUGAGGUAGUAUAGAUGACUAAGAAACCGUUGCUAUCUUGAUUGUGCUUCUGAGCUCCAAAAUGCUUGAGGGCAAGCAUUGUCUAGAUGUGGGGAGAUUUGAUAGAACGGUUAUUGAACACAUUUUGCACUAUUAUUCUGCCCUAAUUUUGGCUACUCAUGGUGCUAAGAAUUGGGAAUUUGCUCAUAUUUGAUAUUUGUGUAAAUUGUAGGUGGUUGGUGUUAAAAGUAAUCUUUUCAGGCAAAUUUUCAGAAGACCCUUUAUUUCAGAACGUGCCCACGCCAGAAAUUAUGGAGGGUUACCCAAAAAUCGGACCCGCGAGCUUGGUAACAGCGGGAAAACCAAUUAAGGAACCAGGUGCGUGGGAUUAGAACCCUUAGACAAAGCUUGCUCCUGAUUUGACUCCUACAAGUGGCGCUACAAAUAAGAAAACAAGCCAGAUUCACGGGGAAUCAUCUACCUUAGCUUUAGUUUUCCUUUUUUCACAUCUGUCAGACAUCAAAGACUUUUUCCUUGUUUUCUUUGGCUUUUACGUUUUGACUCUUUUGCUUUUGCUUUGGAUCUGUACAAUUUUCGUUGGCUUUGGCAUUGAACUUUCGGAUCCAGUACGGAUUCCAACGCAGAGACAAGCAAGACUUUUCACUUUUUCUUUCUUUGUUACUUCAUCGGUCCACAUUCUUUGAUGUUUGUGUGGAUGAAAUCAAUUAAAUCACGCGAGACUGAUAUGACGAGGAGCGGCUAAAUUUCCCUUCUACCUAAGGGUUAACGCAAAGGCGCGGUCCAUAACAUCUGUGAGAUCUAAUCGAAUUUUCACUAUUUCAUCCAAUUCGUUAUUAUUCAUGUGUUUCCUGGAUUAAUUGUUCGUGGGUAUUUUAUUAAUUGGGUACCAACGGUCGGAUAUUUAAUUUAAUCUAAUAGCCUACUGCCAUAUUAAUUAAAUUGAAUCCGUAAUUGUUCGUUUAGUUGACAACUAGUGGCAACCACCAUAAUUGGUUUUAUGUUGGGAAAACGCAAGAUCUAAUUUAAAUAAACCAUCUCAGCGUGUUUAUUGGUUAGGGUUGGAUUUUUCUAGUUUUAAUGCAACUGGAUAACUAAAUUUUUAUGGUCGUACGUAGGAUUGUUUUCUGGUUAGAGAAUCAGUCAAUGGUCGUACCUUGACUGUCGAAAAAGUAAGGAAGAAUUAGUUGUUAAAACUUAUUGAUAACUAUAACCAACCUAGUGACGGAUGGAUGAAAUAUCUUUGCAUCGAUGAUCAUUUAAUUGGACCGUGCCUGAAAAGUUGAUCCAUUAGGUAGAAUUUUAUUAAUUGCUAUUUUUAGUAAAUUAUACUUGUGGAGUUAUCUUAUGAAUUUUAUUUAUUUUAUUUUUGUUUCCAUCCCAUUAAUCAUCUCCCAAUUUUAUUCUAUUGACUUAGAAAGAAACAACUUCCUACCCGUUCCCUGUGGAAUCGACCCUACUUGCCAUUAUACGCAAAAUUAAUAUUUUUAUAGACAAUUCAGGUAUAUCGAACCAAGCAAACUCUUCGGGAACAGGGUGAAUCAAGUAACCCAUUGCAUACCUAGGGUCCCUGCUCUAGUACUUGGAUUUGUUUUAUAAUUAAAUAGGGACUACUUGUCCUGUAUUCAGAUAUGCCAUUGUAAUAGAACUUUAGUAUACUUAGAUAGUAUAUUAUUUAGGAUAAUUUUUUGACAAAAAUAUUGUAACAUUUUUUUUGAUAUGAUAUAUGUCAGAUAAAAAGAUGAUUGAAAAAUUUGUUGAUGAUACAAACAAAUAAAAUUUGACAAAUAAUCUACUAUCCAAACAAAGACUAGAUUUUCUAUGUGCAAAUAUGCUAGGGUAACCGAUUCACAACACAUUGUAUGAAACUUUAUUCCCCAUGGUGUUGCAUGUUAUUCGUGUUUGUUUUGGUGAUAAUUAAGCCCCAGUGAGGCCAUAAUUGAGUAGAACUUGAAGUAGAAUUUUAUUUAUUUAUUUUUGGAUAAGAUUUUAAGGGACCCAAAUGAUACAAUUUGAAGUAGUAUAUUGAAAAUUCAAGAAUUUGAUAUCUUGGUAUUUCUAGAAUUUAAAAGUUGGAUUUUAACCAAAAAAAAAAAAAAGAAUUCAAAAAGUUGGAUAUUGUGAGAAAAAUCAAGUGGGUCCAAGUUUGUUAUGUCUAUCCUACAAUAGUACAAUGAGUGGACAAUAAUAAAUAUGGGAAAAAUACACUUUUUAUCCCUAAUGUUUAAGGUGUUAACCAAUUUCGUCCCUAAAGUUUCAUGUAAAACAUAUUUCAUCCUUGUAAUUUGAUAAUUUUAACUAAUUUCUUUCUUAAAGUUUCACACGAACACAUUUCAUCCUCAUAGUUUAAUAUAUUUGGCUAAUUGAGGACAAUUAGUGGAUUGUCAAUGAUUUUAAAUAGAAUAUUGUCACUUGACCACAACAUGCCCAUUAGUAAAAAAAAAAAAAACAUUGGAUCAACAAAAAGGUUAAAAAUCUUUUCUUAAUCCACUUUCUCAUUUUGGUACCAAAAAAAAAACUUAAGAAAUUUUUAGCCACCAUUACUGUCUUCUUAAUCACAAUCGAACAAGAAGAUAUAUCUAAAGAAAAUGAAGUCAUGGAAAACAAACAACCCCACUAUAGCCAAUUGGAAAAAAAUGUCAAACAACUCCAUUACAACUAAUUGGAGAAAAAUAUUAAUGUGAAAGAAAGAAUGGUUUGAAUUGUCAUUUAUUUGCAAAAUUUUGUUUUGCUGCUGUGUAUUUUGCACCAACAGUUGUAUCAUGUAUACGUUUUUCAAUCAUCUAUUCAUCUUUCAAUCUAUUUGUUUUAUCUCAAAUGCAUUAUAUCAUAAUUUUAAAAAACAAAGAGAUAGUCUCAUAUCCAAAAACACUUGUUAAUUUUGUAAUUUAAUCAAUAACUGAAUUAAGUAUUAAUAAUACAAUUACUAAUGGGACAUGUGAUGAUAUUAUGUCCAAAUUGGUUAACAAUCAUUUAAUUGUCCUCAAUUGAUAGAAAUUAUGAAACUAUCGGGAUGAAAUGUGUUCUACAUAAAUUUCAGGGACAAUUGGUCUAAAUUAUAAAACUAUGAGGAUAAAAUAUGUUUAGAAUGAAACUUUAGGAACGAAAUUAGUUAACACAUUAAACAAUGGGGAUGAAAAGUGCAUUUUUCCUAAUAAAUAUUUUUGUUUGUUCCUUCUUCUGUCGUUCGUACUAAAACAGUCAACGGGAAUGACGCCGCUCCGAUGUUCACAAAAUAAUUGGUUGGAUUCCAAACUAGGCAUUAAAAUAAGGAAACAAGUCUAUGACUCUCAAUUUGAAGCUGUGCUAUCAUAAAUUGUUUAAGAAUACCGCUAAUGGAACACUUAUUGAGUGUGCAAUGCAAUCAAAUUUUAAUUUUUUGCAAAGUCUAAGUUUUGAAAAUUAAAUACUGGUAAAAACUAUAAUUCGUGGAAAGGUUUUAUAUUUAUUUGACAAAAUAUUUAAUUCACUUCAUAGAGGUAAGAUAUGAAUUUUUAUUCAAUGUGUAAUUGGUUUCUUUUGAAAUAAAAGGUAGUAGUUAUAUUGAGUUUAAUAUAUAUUGUGAGUAGUUGAUGUCUAAAAGUUGCAAAUUGUUUUAGGUAUAUGAAAAAAAGAGAGAUUAUAUUAGGUGUAAAAGCCAACAUAGGUGUUUUAGAGCAUUAAAGCAAGAGAAUAUUGAAAGCUUGGUUUAGGAAAUACUAUGAUAGUUUGAUCUAUUGCAUAUAAGAACGAGAAAAUAACUGUGACCACUUCCUUAUCUUACCAAAGUACAAUUAUAUUUUGUUAAAAAAAAAAUCUCCAGCAAAGGAAGGGUGAGAUUGAUUUAAGAAGCAGGGAGGAAAAAAAGAAUUUGAACUCAGAAAUUUUCACCAAAGAUGCCUUGUUCUAGUAGUUAAAGUUGAAAUUCCAAAAAUUAGAGUAUUGAGUUCAAAUCCCUCUGCUUCCUUCCCACUUUUUAAGUUCCAUGUCUCUCCUUUUUGAAAAAAAAAAAAGAAAUAGUAAAGUACACUCAUGUUAUAGUACAUCACUAUUUGGUACUUUAUAUAUCCCUAUAACAUAUAAGAAGACGUUUUGUGGGUUACUGUUCAUUGCAUUUCAUCUGCCUCCUUGGGGGUUUUUUUGUCAUUCCAGCCUCUUGCUUAUUCUUUUUCUUGGAGCUGGUACAACUGGUUGCUGCUUUGGAGAAUAUGUCUUUUCUAUCCUUAUUACAAGCCUUAGCCGGAUGUUAGUGGAAUGUUGGCUGUUUUGCAACAUUAAUGAGAUUUGAUGCUCAUUUCUAUCAGCCAACUCAUUUGCCUUGUUUAAUUACAUUUUUCUCCUUCCAAAUGCUCAUUGAAUAGACUGAGCAUUUUGAAUUCAUGUGUAACAGAGUCAUUUCACAAUAGCCUUCUACUUUUGCUAUUGAAAAUUAGAAAAUUGAGUCUUCUCUUCUCCGUGUUCUCCUGCUACAUGCAUUCAUUAUCCACAACUCUUUGUCUAUAUCCACAACUCUCCGUUCUAUCCUACUGCCUUUGUUAUUGCAUUGAAAAAUCCCAUAUCUAGGUUCUAUUUCCUUUCUGCUAAAUCUUUGUUUUCUACCUUAUUCAUGAUAUGAACUGUAAACCAUAUUUACUAUUAUUGUCAUGCUUGGUGUUAGCUUUGCAUAUUCAGUGUACAAUGGCUUCAACUGAUGCACUUGCACAUUCAACGGAUAAGAAGAUUCAUUGCAACAGAAGAUUAAGAGAAAAAUAUGCUUCCUUAUCAGUGGAAGAAAAAGAAGCUUGUCGAGCUAAAUAGAAGGAAGCUUAUCUAAAGAGGAGAGCAAGGAAAGCUGCUGCAUCGACGUCUUCUAUGAACUGACAACAAACUAACAGUAUCUUAUUCAGUUUUGCUAGAAAUGAAAGCUGUGGUAUAAAUGUUUGGUGCUUCGCGUUUAUAUUGGUUUCUUUAGAUUUCUACUUAACUAGUUUAAUGGUUGAUUAAACUUCUUUAUGUGUAAAUUGACAGCAAACUUCUGUAAUAAAUAUAUACACAUGGAGAAGAGCUGUUGAGUUUGCCUGUAUCUGAAGUUUUUGAGUUUUCUGCUUCGCUGCCUUAAUAUUGGAUUAAAAAGAAAUCUUUAUGUUUGAAUUAAAAAAAAAUCUAUAAGAGAUGCAUGCGAAUGGAGAACAGCUUCUAGUUACUGUGAAAAGCUGUGCCAAUAUUUAAAUUAAAAUUGUAAUUUGCAUUAUGCUAAACAUGAUGUAAAUUAUCAAAACCUUUUAAUUCAGGUGCACAACUUCUAGUUUCGUGUGACCUAUGACAAAAUAAUGACCACAAUAACCAACAGGCUAUUGCUAUUAAACCACUUCCACAACAGAGUAGAGACAAAGAGGCUAAUUUGCAACAAUCUAUUGCUAUCAAAUUGGUUGUGCAACAACAUAACAAAAGUAAUUCUCUGUGCAAAUGCAAUGCUGAAUUAGAAGGCAAGUUGAAGAGGCAUGUUUUCUUGACAUUUGAACAUGGUAUGCUUGCACAAGUUCAUUACUCUUUAAAUUUUCUACGCCAAGUUGUUCCCUUUUUUUUUUUUUGCUCUUCUAUGUUUAUACAUGCAUUUUUUGAUCUUAUGUUCAUAUAGGUUCUUCGUUAAAAAGACAUUAAUUUAUAAAUGUAAAAGAAUCAGUAGACUAAACGUUUCAAGUAUAUCUUGUUAUAAUCAUAUUUAUCAAUGUACGCUUCAUAUAAUAAUUUCUAUGCUUGCAACUAGUAGGUGAUCCUCCUAUAUGUGAUAGCUGCUAUAAAUUCUUGCAUGAAACAGUUGAUGAUCUUGCAGGUUGAAAUCCUUAAUCCUAUUUUUAUAAAUAUUUGCUCAAUGUCGUUUGGUUGCUAAACUUGAUUUAGGCUCUUACAGUUUCUUAUUUGCCUAAUCAGGUAUAUCUAUGACAAUAUGCCCUCAACCAGUGGAAGCCAAUGUUUCUCAUGCCAUGAAAAAUUGUCCAAAAGGUAUGCAUAUCUAAAAUGUAUCUGGAAAUGUUGUAGAAUCUAUAUGUAUGUAUAUCAGCAGCAUGAUUUUUUUACCUCGUAACUAACCAGAUUAUUGAACUACCAACUAGAGUAAGUAAGCGCAAGUAGAUUCAUUGCUCACUCGAACCCAUUCCUCUUGCUCUACCUAUUGAGUGCACAGAUGACUCGCGAAAAAAACUAUAGAGAGCGACCGAAGCUCGUCAAGCCCCGAUCCUUCUUCAGCCAUAAGAAAGCCAAGACCAGACUUGGGGAGAACUACUCUGUCCACACCUGUCCCAUUCCUUCUCUCUUCAGUAAGCGAAUCAGCCAGUAAACUUGAAUCUGUGGGUAGCACAAAAAGAGUAGCUUGGUUCCGUUUCGGUUUAUACACCAGGGCCAAAACCUUACCAUGCCAACACUCUUCCGGUUCGAUAAGACCAGCUCUUUCUAUAGCUGCAUUUCAUCUUCCCCUCAAUUGCUCUGUAGGCAAAAGCUCAAGCCAAAGGAGAUCAAACAUCCAAGCAAAGAAGGCUUGCAUGCAAAACAAGGGUAUCAUUGCUGUUUCUUUAUCUUACAUCUAUACAUAUUCAAAUAUUUAUACCUCUUUCAUAUGCACAUAAAAUAGUCAUAAAAAUGCUUUGUGUCCUAUUAUUCUACAACAUCUAAAAAUAUAGCUGGUGUAGAUGUUCUGAAUUUCAUUAACCAUAGUGCAAACCGCCUCCCUGAUGCAUUAGAUUGUAAAUAUUGUGGAUCAAAAAAAUUCUACUCAGAGACAGCAAACUUUUGCUAUUUUGAUGGCAAAGUUCUGCUCCAUGAAAAUAAGCUACCUAACAUCUUAAUUGAACUUUUUAGUGGUCAGAGCGGAGAAGCUAUACAAUUUCGAACCUAUGUCAGGACCUAUAAUAGCAUGUUUGCAUUUACUUCAUUUGGUGUUCACUAUGAAAAAUCCCUCUGCAAGAGAACAAAUGAAAUCUAUAUAUUCAAGAUACAAGGCCAAACCUAUCAUUUCAUCAAUGAACUAAUAAGGCAUGGAGGAUUAGGAAUGUAUCUUCAGCUUUAUUUUCAUGACACAGAACAUAAAAUUCAGAAUCGAUUAGCAAUAUCAAAAAAGCUGACUGAAAGUAUUGUAGUCAAACUAAUGGAAGUAAUGAAAGAAAAUCCAUAUGCUUGCUUCUUCAGGAGUUUGAGAAAUCUCCCAAACUUCGACUCAUAUCAUAUAGUUUUAAAAUCUCACUCCGACAAUGACCAGCAAGUGUUUAAUAAACCUGCUGUAUCUCAAGUUGCAGCUUUAUGGGUUAAAUGAGAAAACGCUAAUCAAGGCUAUUCUAGACACAUACAAAUAUAUACUAAAGAAGGACAUAGCCACCGCAUUCAAUAUUACUACGGCUACUGUGACCCUCUUCAGUAUUCACUACUUUUUUCAUUCGGAGAAACUAGAUGGCAUCCAGGUAUACAACAAUUAGGGAUAGACAAUCCAAAAAAGCGUAAAAGAAAGACUAUGAUACAUUCAUGUUUAGCUACAUUGUCCAGCAUUAAGUCGGCAGAAGAAAUGAUUGAUCUCGAAGAAGAAGGUAACACACAUAUACCAUUAUUAUAUAUAACUGUAUUGAAUUACAGUUAUCUCUUCUUUGACAAAUAUUCUAAAUCUUACAGCUUACAAGGCAAAUGAAAACUCCAAGGAAUAUGUAUCCAUGAUACAGUAUUAUGCAUAUAAAUUCUAGAUAAGAAAAAAAAUUGGGCCAAAUAUUUUAAACGCUUGAAGAGCUUUGCAACAGUAUUCAGUUGAUUUGUACGUUAAAAUAGAGACACAAAGACGAGAUUUUUAUAGAAGCAGACAACAGCAAAUACGUCAAGAGCAGCUACAAGGAAUUAUAGACAAUAUAAUACAGGGACAACAAAAUGGAUUUCGGAUUGAACUGCGAGUAAUAUUGCCUGCAUCAUUUAUUGGAGGCCCUAGAGAUAUGAAAAAAAAGGUAUCUUGAUACUACGACUUUGGUCCAGAAAUUUGGGAAGCCGGAUCUUUUUAUAACUAUGACUUGCAACCAAUCAUGGCCUGAAAUUAAAGAAAAUCUGUUAUAAUCAGAUGAAGCAUAGAAUAGGCUUGAUCUUAUUCCUCGUGUGUUCUAUGCAAAGUUAGAAAUUAUAAAGGAAGAGUUAUUCAAGAAGCAAAUAUUUGGAGAAAUAGUAGCCUAUACUUAUGUUAUAGAAUUUCAGAAACGUGGUUUGCCUCAUGCUCACUUUCCAAUUAUCCUCAAGCCUACUUUCAAAUUAUAUACAAUAGAAGAUUAUGAUUGUAUAGUUUUUGUAGAAAGACCCGAUGAAACACAAAUGAGCAUCUCUUUAGAAUGGUCAAGAAACAUAUGAUGCAUAGGCCGUGUGGCGAGAAAAAAACCUGAUACUGUAUAAAUACAGGAUGUAUCAAAGAAGUAUUGCAAGAAUAAUUAUCCAAAGGCAUGGGCAGAAAAAAUUAGACAUUCUUCGAACUCGUAUCCAACAUACAGAAGAAGAAAUGAUAGCAAAAAAAAUUUUAUCCGGGGGCACUACUUAGACAACAUAUGGGUAGUGCCAUACAAUGCUUAUCUAUUGGCCAAAUUCAAUUGCCAUAUAAAUGUUGAAAUUUGCUCCACAAUUAAGACCGUCAAGUAUGUGUAUAAGUAUACAUACAAAGGUCAUGCAAGGAUACAUUUUCAAGUGAAUUCAGGUGAUGGAGCAAAUGCUAUUGAUGAAAUCAAGGAAUAUCAGUCAGCACAGUAGGUAUUUGCAGUUGAAACGAUGUGGAGGAUAUAUAGAUUUCACCUUUACGAAAUGCAGCAUACUGUAAUAUAGCAUCAACUCCACCUAGAAAACUUCCAAUCUAUGCUCUUUCAACCAAAUGAUAGUCUUGACAAUAUAUUAAGUAACAAUUUUGUAAAAAGAAACUCACCCAAUUUUUUUAAAUGAAUGCUACAGAUAAUUUAACAAAAAGUUUCAAAUGUACCUACAAAGAAUCCCUCGAACAUUUUGUGUGGUAUCCAAGUUCCAAAUCUUAGCAACCUAGCAACAAAGAGAUUUUAUCAGUAGAGUUGUUGCAGCAAAUCCCCUUGAAAGUGAACGGUACUUCUUAGGACUCCUUUUACUGCAUGUUAAAGCCCCAACUUCUUAUGAUGAUUUAAAAACUGUAAACGGAGUGCAUGUUACUACAUUUUGGGAAGCAGCUGCACUUAGAGGAUAUCUGGAAUCAAAUAACUUACAAGAACAAUUUCUAGAAGAAACUAUUGUUUAUCAUAUGCCAUAUAGCCUAAGGAUGUUGUUUGCAACAUUAUUGGUUUACUUUACUCCCUCAAACCCAAGAACACUAUGGUUGAAAUUUGAAGAAUCAUUGUCUAAAGAUUACAAUGGAGUCCCAAACUUAACCAAAAAUGAUAUUCAAUUUAAAGUUUUACAUCAAAUAAGCAAUUUUUUAGAAUCUAUGGGUCGUAACAUAAACAGCUAUGGGCUGGUGCCAAGAGUACUAAAAUUUCACGACUCAAAUCACAAAUGCAAGAGAUACAAUUAGUGAAACAGAGAUUAAAGUUUCAGAGGAUGACUUGAUAUCAAUUACUAAAAUCAAUCCUGGUCAAAAAACAGCUUUUGAUGCUAUAAUGCAGGCGUUAUACAUUAAACAAAAGGGAUGUUUCUUUAUCGAUGGACCAGGUGGCAAACAGCUCACUCUCAAAUGAGUAAACAAAGUGAACUUGCUAAACUUAUUCAAACAGCUAAACUUAUCAUUUGGGACAAAGCUCCAAUGGCACACAAAACUAGUAUAGAAGGUGUGGAUGCACUACUAAAAGAUUCGAUGGAUUCUUCUGAAUUAUUUGGCUCAAACGUUAUGAUUUUUGGUAGUGAAUUUAGACUAGUUCUCCCCAUUGUCACUAAAGGUUCAAAGGAAGAUUUCACAUAAGCUAGCUUAGUAACUUCACAUAUUUGGCCAUAGCUUCAUAAACUGUACCUCACAGAUAAUAUGAAAGCAAUAUCAGACCCAAAAUUUACAAAUUACCUUCUCUGAAUAGGAAAUGGACUAGAACCAACAAUACAAGGGUUGAAAGUAAGGAUCCCUCUCCCACUACUAAUACCAUACAAAAGUGAAACAGAAUCAAUUUUUGAACUUAUUAAAAUAGUUUACCCAAAUGUGUUAAAUAAUUUGUUAAUUGAAAUUUUUUCAGGUGAGUCUCAAAAUUAUAUUAGUCGUGAUAAAACACAUGAAAUUUCAGAACAAGGCCAAUUUGAAGACUUUCUCAACAAAUUAACAUCCAAUGGUUUCCCCCUCCCACACAAGCUUAUUCUGAAACCAAAUUGCCCAAUAAUUCUUCUAAAAAACAUUGAUCCCCCAGAAGGCUUGUGCAAUGGAACAAGGUUAAUAUAUAAAAUUUUGACUAACAAUAUUAUUGAUGCGGUUAUAAGUGCUGGAGAAUUCAAAGGUAAACAAGUCUUUUUACAUAGAAUAUCUUUCCAAAUAGAACAUGAUACUGAUUGCCCGAUGUCAUUUGAAAUACUUCAAUUUCCUGUGCGUCUAUGUUUUGUGAUGACAAUUAAUAAAGCUCAAGGUCUAACUUUAGAUUCCGUUGGCAUAUACUUAUGUGAACCAAUUUUUUCACAUGGCUAACUAUAUGUUGCUUUAUGAAGAGUAAAAAAUAACAAUUGUGUAAAGAUUCUUAUACAGCCUUCUCCCUUUGAUCCAACAGUUGACUAUGCUACUAAUAACAUAGUAUACAAAGACAUUUUAUAGCUUGCAAGUCGCCACCUUUUAUAAUUAUUGAUUACAACAUUAUGACAUUCAUAUCCAUUGCACUUCUUCCCUAUACCUUUUCUGCGCAGCUAUAUUUCUGCACUAAUAAUAGCUUAACACCCAAUGGUUUGUCAUGCAUUGCUCUAUAUUUCACUUGCUUUUAUACUUUGUUAACCUAUAAAUAUGCAAGAAUCAAUGCUGCUAAUAGUUUAGCUGGACCUUCUUAAACUAAUAUUUAUCACUGUAUAUUUAUCUGGUAGCAUUAUACUGAUUCUCCAACAAUUACUGAUUAUCAUUCAUUUAGCCAAAAUACAUUAGAAAAAGCUAUCUUCAUAUUACAACAAAAAAUAAAGAUUAGCCAAAAAAAUUAUGAUUUAUUAUCUGUAACGCCUUCCUUACAUAGCAAGUCACUCAAGGUGUUUAAAAUAACUACUAUAUGAUUUUCUUUAGAAUAACUAACUUUGGCUAAUUUCAAUUUAAUUUGAACAGGUACUAUUUGAUUCUUCUAAAUGUGUUUUUUUACAAAUGACUAUUAUCUCUUUUUGUCAUGCUUAAUCUUCUUGUAGUAAAGUACUUAUUUUUCCAUGCUGAACAUUGAUGUCCUUUUAAUAAAUGAUAAAAUGUUGUAUAUGCAUAUAUAUUUUUCUGCCAUAUAUGAUUAUCUUCACGCCUCUGCCUUAUGUUUAAGCUUCAAAAAUUCAUAAUGCCUAGAUAUCCCUUGAGCUUGAAAUAACUGCGAUCUGUGACAAAGAUGAACUCCUUUCCAUAUUGAAGCAUAUAGACACAACUUGCUAUCUCUUACUCUUGUGUUACUUUGAGAGUUCAUGUUUUGUUCUAUUGAUUUGUGCUUACAUAUUCAUAACUGCAUCCUAUAAUUCAAUUUGUGGUUACACAUAAGGCAUCCAGGCUUUCUACAAGCUAUGUGAUCCUAAAUUCUAUGUUAAACGACAGAUGUCCAAACAUCUAAGACAUUACCAUCUCUACAUCUUCGCUGCCAGCUACCACUGCUUCAAUUCUUGAGUCAAUUUCCAUUUGAGCCACUAGCCCUUCUGAGUCAAUUUCUAUCUAUUACCGAAUACUUGCCAACCUUUCAUUUUCUCCAGACGCCCUAACAAUAAAGAAGCAAACCAUUUUCAAUCUCACUCAUUUGCAUAGACAGCAAAAUAAGGCAAAAUGGGUUAAGAACCUUCUCACCCAACUUCAGUCCUUCUUUUCCUUGAUCUACAAAGCAAAAACUUCAAAAAUUGUUUGUGCAAUUGUUGAUACGCUGACCAAAAUACUUGGUACAUUUGAUCUUCAGAUUGCCCUAUGCAAGGAAAUUGUACAAUGAAUGCAUAAUGAGAACCAAACUUUCCUCUGUCUGUGCACUAAGGCAAAACUCGCAACUCUUUUGAUGGAGAACGAGGAGUAUUCUGAAGCUCUAACUCUCCUUUCUUACACAUUAGAUAACAUUAAAUAACAAAUUGCUUUUCGUAGACAUUAGAUUGUUAAAGAGGAAGCUUCAUUACUCUUUCAAGAAUCUAUCUAAGACCAAAGCUGCACUUAUAGCUAUAACAAUACAUACUAUUUGAACAUUUACUAUUUCAUUCUCAUAAACAUUAGAACUUGUAGGCUCUUAUUAUCUCUUUAGUUACACAAUUGCUCGAGUAGUUCAGUAUUUCACCAUGAGUCUCCAACUGUUCCGCUGAAGUUGAUCUCAAAAGGUUUCAAGGUUCAAAAUUGGCUAACAAGAAAAGAAAGCUUACACAUUGAAAAAUAUUCUGUUGAAUAAGUAAUGCCUUAUGUGUAUUUCCUAUCACCUUAGCAUUGAGUUAAGCUUAUGCUUCAUUUAUGGUGCAAAUAAUGUCAAAUCUUUUGCAAAUAAUGCUUCAUUUAUUGAGUUAGUUUAUACUUUUACAACUGUCCUUAGGAAAUGUUCAAAAAAUAGAGGUUAAUGUUCAUUGCAUUUCAUCUACUCUCCUCGAGGGCACUUUUGUCAUUCCAGCCUCUUGCUUCUUCUUUUUCUUGGAGCUGGUACAACUGGUUGCUGCUUUUGUUUGGAGAAUAUGUCUUUUCUGCCCUUAUUACAAGCCUUAGUCGGAUGUUAGUGGAACAUUGGCUAUUCUAUAGAUGCUCAUUUUCCUCCUUCCAGAUGCUCAUUGAAUGGACUAAGCAUUUUGAACUCAUGUGUAAUAGAGUCAUUUCACAAUAGCCUUCUAUCUUGUACGAGAUGUUGACACAAGCUUGAACUAGCUUGUCAGUUAUUGCUUUUUUUUUUUAUAGCAAGAUACACAUAAUUCUUGCAAUUUUAUAACAAGAAACUCACACUAUUUUUAGCGAUUCUAUUGCAGGAUUACCAGAGAAGCUAAGUAUGAUUAAUGUCUCUAGCAUUAUGGUCAAUGUCUUUAGCGCUUGACAUCAUUUAAGCUAACAAUAUUAAUUUCAGCUGAACGUUGAUGUCCUUUUAAAAAAUGAUAAAAUGUUCCAUAUGCAUUUUUUUCUACCAUAUAUAAUUAUAUUACCAUAUAUAAUUAUAUUCAUAGCUCUACCUUGUGCUUAAGUUUUAGGGAGCCGUAAUACCUAUAUGUGCCUUCCUACUUAGUUUUAGCUUAUGAAAGUCAAGAUAUAUUAAAUAAUAAUAUAUUAUGUGUCAAAGAAAAACUUCUUUCCGCAUUGGAGCAUACAGACAUAACUUGCUACAAGAGCUAUUAAAUGGAACGAGCAGCUCGAAAGCUCGAUUGAGCUUGACUCGAUAAGGCUCGAGCUCGACUCGUUAAUUGUGAUAAACGAGUCGAUCUCGAGCUCGAGAUAUGCUCGUUUAAUUAACAAGCCGAAUAAACUCGACUCGUUUGUUAUCCGAAUAGCUCGAUUAGGCUCGAUAAGGAAGGGUGUAUAUGUCAUUUCACAAUACAACAGUAUAAAAUUAAAAAUUAUAAGUUUUUAUUGAGAUCAAUUUGCAAGCUCGGCUCGUUUGUGAUAAAAGAGUCGAGCUCGAGCCCCACAUGUCCCAUUUGGCGAGCCGAGUCCAAACACAUUUCAAAACUCUUCCGCCUAGUCGAGCGAGCUCGAGUUUGGCUCGAGUCGAGCUCGACAACCAAAUACUCAACUUGACUUGGCUCGAUUAGCAGCACUAUUUGCAACCUCUUAGUCUUAUGUUAGUUUCGCAGUCCAUGUUUUCUUCUACUGAUUUCUACUUGCAUUUGAUAUCAGAGCCUAGAACUUCAUGUGGUGAAAGCAGUUGCUGAUGCUAAUUCAUUGUAUGACACUUUCAGUAUUUCCUCCAUUCUAUUCUCUUGUUGCAUACUAUUGUGUUUAUACAUUUAUUCUAUUUAUAGAUUGUGUAUACAACUUUCGCUUUGCUGCUAUUAUCUAUUUCUUAUCUUCAAUUUCUUUUCUCUUAUGAUAGGUUGCAAUUUUAUCAUUUAUUUUAUUAUUAAUUUCCCUUAUUACCUGACCCAAUGUGGAUUAAUUAUUAAAUUCUACUCAUUUUUAGUAUUUUACAUUUAUUUCAGGGAGUAGAACGAAAAUAUGAUAACAAGUGUCAAUUUGACUGAAAAAGAGUCCAAAUAAUAGAGCUUAUCCCAAGGGCAUUUUUGGAACAAAUAGAUGCUAGCCCUUUUCGGUAAUUUUGUCGAAGACAACAUGGAAAAAGAACCAAAGGGCUGAAGUCUUCUUGGGAUUGCAUGGGCCGCCGCCGCACAGGAGCCAAGCUUUAGAAUGGCUAGGUAUUAGAUGGAAAGAAAAACGCAGAGAACAAGCACUAUAAAAGCUUAGCCGUGAACUUUUCCUUUCAUCUUUAGUUCCUCUUUGACUUUUCUUUUCGGUAUUUUUUGUCCUUUAGUAGCUUUGCUCCCUGCGCAUGUCAGGGAGAAUUAGGAAUUAGCUAUCACUUCUGGUAGUUUGUUUUUCUUAUCGACUGGGACGAAUUGAAUCUUCUUAACUCUCGGAGACGAUGGCCGAGACUCUUGUUUCAAUUUUGUGUGGAUUUUGUUCAUCAAUUAUGAACUAAUUUCCUCACUCUAGUCAAGGGACAACGGAUGCUUUGGGUCGCCUAAAAUUGUGAGAUCGAUUUAAUUUUAUAUUUUCUUUUUAUUUAUUGGUAUUCGCAUAUUUCCUGGUUACAGUGCUUAUGAUUGUUUAAUUAAUUGAUUGUCUUGGGUCCGGAUAAUUAGUUAAUUUGAUAAUCUAUUGUCAAUUGGGACGUUAAAUCCGUAAUUGUUUAAUUGUCUCAAAAUAGUGAUAACUGGCAUGAGUGGGUUUGUGUCAGAGGAAUAUGCGGGCUAAUCUGAAAUAACCCUGGUAAUGCGUUAUUUGGUUAGAAUAGGGCUCAUCUAAUACGUAAGGCAAUUGGAGAAUUAAAUUCUAUGGGCGUACCUAGGAUUAUUUCUCAAUUAGAGUAGUGAUUAACGGGCGUACCUUAAUCACCGACACAGUAAGGAGGGGUUGACUGUCAUCGCUUAUUUGGUAGUUAUAACCUAUUUAUUGAUAAAUAAUUGAAAGUGCCUUUGUUUCGAUGAUCAAUUAGGUGAACCAUUGCUGAAGUUAUUCCUUGGCUAGAUCUUUGAUUAAUUUUACCUUGAUUUUAGUAAAUUGCCAUUUGACUUUUAGUUGCCUAUUUUAUUUUAUUUUUAAUUGUCUUCUUGUUCUAAUUGUUUUGGAUCAUUAAUUAUUGUUACGUUAAGUUUAGUGAAUUGCCGUUUAAUUUCUAGUUAGUAUUUAUUUUUAUUUACUUAUUGGAAUUUAUUUGAUUGUCGUCGUUCCUACAAAAUUACCCCCUUGUGUUACCUUGGAUUUCUUAAGAAAUAAAUAUACCCAAUUCCUGUGGAUACGACCCUACUUGUCCUGUCUACAAAUUCAUAAUUAUUUGUGAGAAAAAAUAACCAUCCCAUUCGGGUAUAUCCGAUCAAGCAAACUCUUCGGGAACAGGGUGAAUCAAAUAACCCAUUGCACACCUAGAGUCCCUGCUCCAGUACUUGAAAUUGGAUUUUGGUCAUUUUAACUGGCAAUUAGGUUUAAUUUUACUAUUGUACAGGCCUCGACGCUCUGUCAAUUUUUGGCGCCGUUGCCGGGGACUGGCGUUAUUAUUUGUUUCUUUUAAAUUCAUUCUUGUUUUAAUUUUCUAGUGCUUUUCUAGUGUAUGCCUCGGUCUUCUCGUACAGGUGAUUUGAUUUUUGACCCUGAAGUAGAGAAGACUGCGCAUAGAACGAGAAAGAAAACCAGACAGUUCAAAAAGGAGCACUCCAGUGCUGCAUCUCAGAGACCUGAGCCAGAAGUUGAACCAAUAGAUUUGUUUGAUGACACUUCAAGUGACUCUGACUAGGAGAAAGGAACCAUGGCUAAUGCACGAAUAUUAAGGGAGUUGGCUGCUCCUAACUUAAAUCAGCAGCCUUUGUGCAUUACUUUCCUAAAUUUAGAUGAUAGCAUUCCAUUUGAAUUAAAAUCUGGCCUAAUUCAUCUUUUACCUUCCUUUCAUGGUUUACCAGGUGAGGAGCCGUAUAAGCAUCUGCAGGAGUUUGAUGUUGUGUGCAACAGUAUGAAACACCCGGAAAUCACAGAAGAGCAAAUAAAAAUGAGGGCAUUCCCCUUUUCCUUGAAGGAUUCUGCAAAGGACUGGCUGUACUACCUGCCACCAGGUAGCAUUACCACGUGGGACUAAUUAAAGAAAAAUUUUUUGGAUAAAUAUUUUCCUGCGUCCAGGACUGCAAGUCUAAGGAAAGAAAUUUGCGGGAUCAAGCAGCACCCAGGGGAGUCACUCUAUGAGUAUUGGGAGCGAUUCAAGAAGUUGUGCAACAAAUGCCCUCAGCACCAGAUAAGUGAGCAGUUGCUCAUACAGUAUUUUUAUGAGGGCUUCUUUUCAGAGAUAGGAGCAUAAUUGAUGCUGCAAGUGGAGGGGCACUGGUGAACAAAACCCCUCGGAAAGCACGGGCGUUAAUAAAGGGGAUGGCAGAGAAUUCGCAGCAAUUUGGUACGAGGGAGGAUGCUCCGAUACGCAAAGUGAACGAGGUAGAGACAUUCUCUAUCCAGUAGCAGUUGACUGAAUUGACUUCUUUUGUUAGACAACUGGCUAUAGGAAAUGCAUAUCAGGUCAAGGUGUGCGGGUUUUGCACUGGUAUGGGUCAUUCUACAGACAUGUGCCCAAUGAUUUACGAAGAAAGUGCAGAGCAAGUGAACAUGGCUGGUCACGCGUCCGCGCCAAGAAGGCCCUAUGACCCCUAUUCAAGUACCUACAACCCUGGUUGGAGGGACCACCCUAACCUCAGUUAUGGAGGGAACAGGCAGACUAACUUCGUGCCAAAUAAAUAACAAGGGUACCAGCAGCAGAACCAACCUCGACCAGCUCCGCCCCCAAGCUCUGGUCCAUUUUUGGAGGAAAUGAUGAAACAACUGAUGGCAACCAUUACGCAAAAUCAGCAAAGGACGGACUCUGAAAUGCAGGAUAUAAGGAAUCAAAUGAGUCAAAUGGCCACAAAAAUCAACCGUUUGGACUCCCAAGUAAAUGGAAGAUUGCCAUCCCAACCUGAACUGAACCUGAAGAACGUAAGUGCAAUGACUUUAACGAGUGGGAAGGAAAUUCAGGGGCCCGAACUUGUGACUCCAAAGGAUAAGGACGAAGAGAAGAUUGAGAAAGAACUUCAAGCAGAGAAUACAAGUACCAAAAAUCCAGUGGUACUCCCUGAUCCGAUCAUAGACGUUAAAACUAAUCCCACUCCAUUUCCUUGCAAGUUGGAGAAAUCGAAGAAACAGGACAAUGAGAAAGAGAUCUUGGAGGUGUUCUGCAAGGUAGAGAUCAAUAUUCCCUUACUAGACACCAUCAAGCAAGUGCCGAAGUAUGCAAAAUUUCUGAGGGAUCUAUGUGUCAAUCGAAAGAGGCUGAGGGAAGAUGAAAGAGUUAUUGUUGGGGAGAAUGUGUCAGCAGUUCUCCAAAGAAAACUCCCACCAAAGUAUGGGGAUCCAGGUAGAUUUACUGUCCCAUAUAAGAUAGGUAAUACUCUGAUUAGGAAUACCCUGCUGGAUUUAGGAGUAUCGAUCAACGUAAUGCCUAAAUCUAUGUAUGCUUUUUUGAACCUCGGUCCAUUAAAAAAAUCGAGAUAAUAAUUCAAUUAGCUGACCGAACAAAUGCAUACCCUGAUGGGUUGGUAGAGGAUGUGCUGGUUAAAGUUAAUGAAUUGAUAUUCCCGGCUGACUUUUAUGUACUUGACAUGGAUGAUGAUCAUUCCCCUAACCCCUCACCUUUGCUACUAGGUAGACACUUUUUGAGCACAACACAGACAAAAAUUGACGUUAAUAAGGGUACAUUGUCCAUGAAAUUUGAUGAAGAACUAGUCCACUUUAAUAUUUUCGAUACAAUGGAACAUCCUGUUAACUCUCACCCUGUGUUUGCUAUUCAUGCUAUUAAUCCCUCUGUGCAAGAAUUUUCUGAAUUUGCUUGUAGGGAUAAAUUCAAAUUUAUUGAGAACAAGUAUAAGGGGAUGAAAGUAUUGUAUGAGGUGAAAAGGAGUAGAAAAUUAAGAAAGAAAGCUGCACUCAAAGGCUAUUUGGAUCCUGGAGGAGGGCCACCGAUUUCCAGGAAAAUUGAGUUACACCCAAAUUGAAGAGUGGUGUUCAAUGUCUAGCCAAACACAUUAAAAAAAGGCGCUCAUUGGGAGGUAACCCAAUUGUUUCUUUUAAUUGUUUGUUUGAUUUCGUGUGAUAGUUUAAAUAUGUUUUCCUUGAAUUUGACUGAUUUCGGGUUUCAAUUUUCGUUUUUGAUGAUUUGUAGGUGUCCUUCUAUCAUGACAUGCCCGCGUCAUGACGUAUGGAGAGCUCACGGUCAGAAUCGUCAGAAGGGAUUCCUGCCCUCAUGACGCGCCCGCGUCAUAACGUAUAGAAAGCUCACGAUCAGAAUCGUCAGAAAGGGUUUCAGUCCUCAUGACGUGCCCGCGUCAAGUCCCAUGAAGAGCUCAUGAUCAGAGAGCUCUCUUGCUCUCAUGACGUGCCCGCGUCAAGUAACCUGAAAAGCUCUUCACUCCGUGCCUUCGUCACAUGCCCACGUCACAUUCGCGGGAAAGGUAAGUAUUCAAAAAAAAACUCAAGAACGAUUAUUGAUUUCCUGUUAAUCUCUACUUUUGAAUUCCAAAAAUAAAUUUUGUUAAUAAUUAAAAAAAAAGAUGAUAUAUGUAAAAAAAAUUCCAAAAAAAAAAAUUUUCAAGUAAGUAACAAGGAGAAAAAAAAAAGGGGAGUCUUUCCGUGAAAAAAAAAAAAAUUUCUAAAAUGAAAAAAAAAACGAAAAAGCAAAAAAAAAAAAAAGCAGAAAUACUAUUUUCUUUUUCUUUUUCUUUCUUCCCUAUUCUUUCUUUUCUUUCCUUUUCUUUUUUCUUCUUUCGAAUUUGUGGUUCAAGGCAUGUUGUGGAGAGCACAAGGCAUAUUUUCCUCAAUUUGAACCAUACUUCAGGAAUUAAAAUAAUUUUUUCUUUUUUUAUUUUUCUUUCAAUUUAUCUAAUUUUUAAUAUUCAUUUUUAAGAUUUAAAAUAAUUAUUGAUUCAAAACUAUUAUGGAAGCAAAUAUAUGGUUUUUAUAAAAUAAUAAACAAAAACUUUUUUCUAUUUUUUUGGAUUGCUUCAAGGUUAAUAAAAUAAAAAUAUGUUCUUUUUUUAAUGCAGCAUGGCCUCAAUAAGGGCAUUUUCGGUAUUAAGGGGAUUUUUGUUAAAUGUUUAAUCAUUCAAAGGGUGAGACCGUUAUUUGGACAAAUUACAGGGAUUAAUUGGUAAUAUGGUCAAAUCUCAGGGGAGGUAAAUGUAAUUAACCCUAUCUUUAGUUAUGAUAAUCCGCUUGCGAUCAUUACUGAUUUCACAAUCACUGUCUUUGGAUACCAUUCUAUGAAACAUUUCCAGUUUUUUUUUUUUUUCUACUUGUAAUUGAAGAUAAUUUCCACAGAACUAGUCAAUAAUAAUCCACCAUCAACUGUGAGAAAGCAAAACACCUACAAAUCAAUUGCAAGUGCGAAGGCUCUGAUUUGGUGCUGAAUUGGGCACUUAUUCGUGCCAAUUCAAUCCUAAAUUUUCCUUCCCCAUUCUUCAACCUUUCAAUAUCCAGUUACAAGAAGAACAAAAAAUAGUGAACAACCAUCAAUUCAGUUUUGGCAUUUUUCCAACAUGCUUGCUUGAUUGCUAUGACCGUAGGGCAGUUUCCUUUUUCCGUUAAUCUAAUUCCGUGAUGGGUCAAUAGAAAAUUCAUCCGAAUUCAGUCUUUCUCACGUAAGAAGAAUAUAUGAUUACAAAUGACCAAAUAAAUUAAAGAGGGACAAAUUCAAGAAGACCAAUAAUAUAAAAAUUCCAAACAUCCAUAGGUUGCACACAAUAAUUCUCACAAAUUUUAAGUUAUAAAAAAAGAAAUUUUGCAAAGGAGGGCCCUACUUCGAUGCUGGCACCGUGACGAUGAACUGCCAGAUUGGGGUCUCUUUCAUGUUUUGGUUUAUCCUUUUUAGGGUUGUUAAAAAUUAAAUUUGGGGAGAUAAGGUUGACGAUUGAUGAAAUCUGAUGAAGAAAGUUGUUUUUUCUAUGGCAUAUUGAAGAAUGGUGGUAUAUUCGAUCAAUGGUAUCCAAUAGUCUUGAAAUAGAAACACAAUUUUUUUUUUAUUUAAAAGAGACUUUUGUUUGUUUUUUAAAUUGAUAUGCAUCACAAAGUGUAUCCUUUUUAAGUUAAUUUUGAGCAAACCUCUAAUGAGUUCCUUUGUGAAAAUUUCAUUUAAUAAAUCCAUAUUGAAAUGACAAAGCCUUCUAUUCCGCAGUUAAGGAUCAUCAUUUGUAACCUUAAGACACUAAUCUUACUAUCAUCAAUUUUUCAAGAUAUAUCACAUAAAUAUCAUUGUAUCUUUUGCCUUUGAAUACAACAUUAAAAUUAGUAUCAAGAAUCAAAUAUUCAUGCCUUUUAAACAAUACAUAAAGAUAUCUAUCACAUAAUUGAUUAACACUGAACGAAUUAUAGCUUAAGUUAUGAACCAAAACAAUAUUUUGAAUGAAAGUGUCACCGUUUUUGUCAAUAUCUCCUAUUCAAAUGGUUUUAACCUUCAUGUCAUCUCUAAAGGUGAUCUUUUCACUACUUUCUAGCUUGAACUUGAUGAAUAGAGGUGGAAUACCAGUCAUGUGCCUUAAACACCUAUUAUCAAUGAACCACUUUAAUCCUUUAGUGGUGUUCUUCAAGUAUACCUAUAUAUAAAAAUCAAGAAAUGAUAUUUGGUACCUUUUUAUUAUUUGAUCCGUAAUUGUUAGUACAAGAUUUAAAUAUCCACAUGCUAUUAGGAAUACUAAUUUCUUAUCCAAGUGGUUUCUUUCCCAACAAAUCUAGUGAAUUAUAAAUAAGACAUUAUUUAGGAUGUUUUCUAGAGAGAGAGAGUGUAGAAAAAUUUGUUAGGUUUUCUACAAUGGUUUUACUUUUUUUUACGAUUUGAGAUUUCAAUAAUAUUGUGAGUUGAUUAUUUUCUUCUCUCCUACACUUUUUUUGAACGUCUAUUUUAUCCCUUCAAUCCUAUAACCCUACACACAUUGGUUAUUAUUAAAACCCUAAAAUUUAGGUUCCACAGAUCUCAGAUGGUAGAGGAUUCCAAUGACUAGAGAAAACUAGGAGUUCUGUACGGAACGGAAUAUUUCAAUGAACAUCUUUUUUUAGGUGUUAAUGGAGUUUAUUAUAUGGCAAAUUACACUUUACCCUGUGAUUUAGUGUUUUUCUACAUAACCCCCCUAUAGUUUCAAAAGUUAUACAUAACUCCCUCAUGAUUUGGAUUAAAGUGUCAAAGUGACGGAAAUGAGUAUUCAUAACGGAGUCAUUUAAAAUGUCAAAAAUAUCCUUAUGUAAAAUUGAAAAUUAUUUGUUAACCAAAGGGGGUUAUGUGUAUAUUUUGAAAAUCAUAAGGGGGUUAUAUGAUAAAGUAUUAAACUAUAAGUGAGUUAUAUAGUAAACUAUAAAAUCAUACGGGGUUAGUGUAUCAUGUAUUUAUAAAGGUAACUUUGACGUUUUUAAAGAUUCUGUUACGAAUGAUAAUUUCCGUUACUUUGACACUUUAAUUUAAAUUGUGAGGAGGUUAUAUAUAAUUUUUGAAACUAUAGAGAGAUUAUGUGAAAAAUCGCUAAAUGAUAGGAGAGUAAAGUGUAAUUUGCCCUUUAUUAUAUAGUUAGUGUGUUUUGGUAACUCUUUAGUGAUUUGACAAUGCAUGUGUUGGGUUUAGUGGUCGUUUUGUCCUCUGCUACUUUCGGGUGAAUUCUUGUUUUUUCAAUAAUAUCGUGUUUUAUCAAACAACAUCGAAUCAACAAUAGCUAUAAAUAUCUUGACUGAUCAUGCCGACCGUACUACUAUCAUCUUUCUGUCUGUAUCAUAGAGAGUGUUUGGAUAGAAUAUUAUUUGAAAUGUUAUUGAAAAUAAUUAAUGUAACACUUUUUGUAAUAUAAUGUAUGUGAGAUAAAAAUAUAAUUAAAAAUAUAAAAAAUAGAUUGAGAAAUAUGUUUAUGAUACAAAUAAAAUAUUAUUUAACAAAAUUGAGUUAUCACGGCUCAAGUGGGGGCUAUUGCCCCUACUUAAGUUUUAAAAAAAAAAAACUCUAUAAACAAAUUUAGACACUCUCUAACUCAAAAUCGACAUUUCUGUCUUAUUAAAAUAGAUAAAUAGACAGGUAUAGUGGCCUUCUCCUCAUUUUCUUCUUAUCUUCUAGUAGCGACAUCCAUGGACCAGAUUGAAAAUAUAAUGCUGUUUUUAUGCGUUUUGCCGUUUACAUGAGCUUUGAUACCAAAAUGACAAAACACAUAGGCCCACCAUUGGCUCCUUUUCAAGUAUUCCUUAAAAACUUUCGAAUUAUCAUCGCUAAAUGAACAGGGCAAAGUUGGGAUAUUGAGCAGAUUUCCUUCUUUUUUUCUAACAUUUUCUUGACGAAAGCAGAUUUCCUUCUUCAAUGCUUUUUCUUUUUAGCUGAUAAGACGUUUAUGUUGAAAAAUUGCUAUUGCUACUGAUCGAGAUGCGGCGCGACAAAUAGGUUGGGAAGGAGGUAAUAAUAAUUAGUACGUGCUCCAAUGCAAACACAUGUGAGUAGACACGGAAAUAACUAUUUUAUUGAGUCUCAAAUAUUCAGCGAAUUUCUAGAAAUAAUACUAAAUUUAGAAAAUUUUCUCCACUUAGAGUUGCCGUAUUUUUCAAAUGUAGCAACAACAAAACAGUAUUUUUAUUUUGAAUUAUUUUUUGGUGUCACAAAUGCGGCGACAAUUAAAGAGUAUUUUUUUUGAAUUAUUUUUUGGUGUCAGAAUGACUAAAAUUUUUUAUUUUUUUAUACAUCUUCGCGGGCGACUGUGAAAAUGACCAUUUGGAUGCGGCGACACCAAGAUGUGAGAAGUCUUAACCGUCAAGUUUCUUUAUAUUAGAUCUAAAUUUUAUCAGAUUUGUUGUUGAAGCUGAGAUUUCUUAGAUCUAUCUCGUCGGAUCUCACUUUAACAUUAGGCUUAAAUCACUUCAUUAGCAUAUCUCGGAGGAAGCAAACGGUACAUUUGAAAGUAUUUUUGAGACUAUAAGUGCUUUAUUAUUCGAUAUUUUUCGAGUUCUGCAGUACAAUUAUCUAGUAUAUAUUUGAAAGUAUAUUUUGUUGGUUUUUCAAAACUGUAAUAUCUAGUAUUUGUUCUUCGAAUAUGUUGCCACUAGUACGGAUUUGAUAAAAUGAUGAUGAUUUUAUCCCCAAAAAAAAGACUAUAGAAUUAAGCCCGUACAAAUGCUUGGGCGGGGGGGGGGGGUUGUGUAGGCAGUGGGUAGUAAAAGGUUGUGGACAAAAUUGAAGAAAACAAAUUAGUAGGGCACAACGUGACAAAGUUUUUCAUAAAGUAUAAGACCAUCAACGAACAGGUAUUGUGAAGUGAAAUGAAAGAGACCUUGAAAACUUAUCCUCCUUAAAAAAAAAAAAAAAAAAAAAAAAUUAUCUUCACAAAAAUUUCAAGGUCAUCCAGCCUGCAACAUUCAUGUUUGCAUUGAAGAUUGUUCAUGUGUCAAUCACGAGUCUUUGUCUAUAUCUCCUUGUGCCAUGAGACUAUAUAGGGCCAGUUUGGAACCUGAGUUUUUUGGAAGUUUGUUUAAAAUUUUACUGUAGUGCACUGUAGAAAUUUUUGAAAAAUUUUUGUAAAAGUUUUUGCAAGGUGAAAAACUUUUUUUUCUUUCAUUUUCUCUUUCUAUUUCUAUUUCUAUUUCUUUCUUUCCUUUUUCUUUUCUUUCCUCCCUUCUUCUUCUUCUUCUUCUUUUUCCUUCCCCCUCCCCCUUCCCCGUUACCUCUGUCUCCCACCUCCAGCACCUCCGCCAGCACCACCUCUUUUUUUUUUUUUUUGCUUUUCUCCUCCCCCCCCUCCCUUUCCCUCUCCCUCGCUCUCUCCCGCCACCCCUAAACUUUUUCACCAUCCCUUUCCUCUCCCCUCUGCUCGCCACCCCCUCUACCCACCAUCCCUUUCCUCCCUCUCCCUUGCUACCCCUCUGCCCCCCACCCCCUAGGCCCGCCACCCCUCCCUCUCCCUCCCCCGCCAUCCUUCUCUGCCCACCAAUGUCACCGCCUGCAUCAUCUCCAUCCGGAAGCCCACGUGAGUUCUGCAGUUCCGACCAUUGUAGAGGUUCCAUCCGUGGGUGCCAGUGUUCCUUCCACUUUCUAUGUCUUCCUCUUCCAACGACAACAGCCGUGUGGUGCAGGGCGGAGCGUGGUGGAGGGGAUGGAAGUGCAAUUGCCGAAGUUCUGACUCGGAUUGCAGCGCCCAGGAAAUGGAGAAUCGCUCAACAAGCUUCUCGUUGCUCGCGCAAUGAUACUUACUCCGGCGAAUUGCUUGGUCGACUCCGGACAACUUUCUGUGCUUUGAAAGAAAAACCGGGAAGAGUUUUGUGUGCUUUUUGUGAAUUGAAAGGGAAAAAACCAGCUUGGACGACGUUGUCUUGUUAAAAUGUUUCAGAAAGGGACGAAAGUUUUGAGAAAAGUUUUUGGGGUUCCUGUAGCAUAAGUUGUUAAAAAACUAGUAUAAUACAAACUUGCUCAAAAACUAGGCUUCCAAACAGGCCCUAUCAUGUAGAUAUUGUAAAUUAAUAUGGUUCUUUUUCUUUUUUCAGUAAUCUAUCCCUAUCAAAAACUUAGAAUGUCCAUUCUCUAAUUUAUAAAAUUAUAAAACUAUAUACUAUUUACUUUUCUCAUAUUGUACUUUACCACCACGCACCAUCAAUUAGAGUAAUCCUCAGAUUUAUUGGACAUUGAUUGUUAAGUUGAGCAUGAUAUCAACUAUUUUUACUAUAUUUGUAUUAUAUUUUGUAUUUUAAAUUUUAUAUAGUUGUUUACUUUAACUCUUUUGUACGAAUAUUUGUUAAGAAAAAAAUUUCAAAGACAAAAAAAAAAAAAGCUGAUGCAAGCAAAAGUAAACAACCAGACAUUGCAUAUCCUUCAAUUUGAUUUAUUUUAGCGUAUUUGACCAAAAUUAUUACAAAGGGCUUAAUCCAACCAAAUGUCUCGAGUAGCUCACUAACUAGUUUUCUUGAUUUAAUGCACUUAGUCACACCACGUCUCACUCUCAUUAUAAUUAACAAUGAGAAGGGAUCCUCUUGAAAACAUCAGAUGCAGAAGAAAGCCACUUGUUAUAGACCCAUACCUUGGUCCGUAUCCAACGUCAAAUAUAUUUGUUUGGAUAGUAAACUUAUUCCAAAUAAUAUUUCGCUUGCAUCAUAAACACAUUUUUCAACCCAUCUUUUUAUAUUUCCAAUCACCUUUUUAUUUCGCAUACAUCACGUCACAAAAAGUACUACAGUAAUUAUUCCAAAUAAUAUUUCAAAUAAUACUCUAUCCAAGCAAGAACUAGGAACAAUCCAUAUGUUUACGAAAGCAGUUCUAGCAAUUGGUCAGAUCUAAUGGCCUGUAACUCACAUCGUAAUAUUUUAUAUUUUAUAAUUCUGUUAAAUUUAAUGAUUUUUCAAAUUAGAUAUAUCUUUCAUAUGUUUUAUAUAUUUUCUGCCAUUACUGGUCUUUUUUCGUCAAACAAAUCGUGAUAGAUGAUUUUCAAUUAGUUUAUUAAUAAUAUUGACUCCUAUUUUAUCAAAAAAAAAAAAAAAGAACUAGGAACAAUCGAAACAAUCACUAGGCACAGGCACAUACCAGAAGGAUGUUGCUUGAGCUUAUCAAUAUGAACCCACGCAAUCAGCAGACUGCCUUUUGCCGAUGCCGCACUAAGGCUUCUUAAGUUUAUUUUAUCAACUCAACAAUCCAAUAUCCAAUGACUUUGGAAAAACUGUGUGGAAAUUUAUCCUCAAACGAGAUCAAGAUCUAUGAAGUUUCACGAAACCGUGCUCAUAGGACUAGGGUCUUGUUUGGUAGAUAAGUUUUUUGUCAAAUUUAUCUGUUACAAGUUUUUUAAAAACUUUAACUACAAUAAUCUCAAAAAACUUCUCAAAGUUUUUAAACUAUACACAUUAAAAUAUUAAAAAAAACACACUUUAAAAUUUUUUUUAAAAACUUCUACAGUAAGUUAUAGUAAAAUUUUAAACAAACACCCAAAAAAUUCACUUGCCAAACGUUGUCAUUACACUCUUAUAUGUCUUCUCAUCUUUAAUUACUGAUGUCACAGUCACUAUCUUAGGAUGCCAUUCUAUGAAACACGUAGUUUAAGCAUUUUUGCCAACAUGCCAUGACCAUAAGGCAGUUUCAUUUUUUCCUUUAAUCAAGCUUGAUAAUGAGUCAAUACAAAAUUCUCAUCCGAAUUCAGUCUCCCUCACGUAAAAAGAUUAUAUGAUUACAAAACUGCAUACAAAUGACCCAAAAAAAAAAAUUUAAGAGGGACUGAUUCAAGAAGUCUAAGAAAUAAAAUAUCCAUACAUCCAUACCUUGGGCUCUUUUUAAAAAUUUUUUUUUAUUAUGCUGUUUUGGUUUAUCCUCUUUUGGGGGUUUCAAAAUUAAAUUUGGGGAGAUAAGGUUGAUGAUGUGAUGAAAUCUGACGAAAAAAUGGUUGUUCGAAGGACGGUAAAAUUAAUUGAAGAGCGGAUGAAUUGAUACUGUAGCUGCAGAAGGUAAAAUUUAAUUACCUCAAUUUGUUCCUUAUUACUCAUUUGCAUGUCUCUCACUUUAGGAUAACCUGCCAUUAUUUGGCCUCUGUGGAUUUGAUGAUCAUCAUUUUAGGAUUUGAUGAUCUCAUUUUAGUUCUGUACGGAAUGGAAUAUUUCAAUGAACAUAUUUUCUUAGGUGUUAAUGGAGUUUAUUAUAUAGUCAGUUUUGGAAACUCUUUAGUGAUUUGACAAUGCAUGUGUAUGGUUAGUUGUCGUUUUAUCAAUAAUAUCGUGUUUUUUCAAUAACAUCGAAUCGAUAAUAGCUAUAAAUAUCUUGACUGAUCAUGCCGACUGUACUAUUCUCAUUUUUCUUAUCAUAUGGAGUGUUUGGAUAGAAUAUUAUUUGAAAUAUUAUUUAAAAUAAUUAAUGUAGUAUUUUUUUAUAAUGUGAUAUAUAUGAAAUAAAAAAGUGAUUAAAAAUAUUAAAAAAUGAAUUGAAAAAUGUGUUUAUUUCUUUCAAAAAAAUUAUGUUUAUGAUACAAGCGAAAUAUUAUUUGAUAAAAUUGAGCUAUCAUGGCUGAGGUGGAGGCUAUUGCCCCUGCUUCAUUUUUUUUUAAAAAAAAACUCUAUAUAUUAUGUAUAUCAAGUAUUUUUGGUCCCACCAAAAAUGAUACAUUUGCGGUCGAUAUUAAUUGGGAGUAAAAGUGCAAACAAAUUUAGAGACUCUCUAACUCAAAAUCGACAUUUCUGGCCUUAUUAAAAUAGAUAAAUAGACUGAUAGAGUAGCCUUCUCCUUCUUUUCUCCUUAUUUUCUAUUCCCUCUGUCCCAUUCAUUUGGUUAUACUUUUCAUUUUGAAAUGUCCCAAAAUAAUUGUCAUGUUAGAAAAGUCAAAUCAACUUUUACACUCUCUUUUCAAUAUAAUCCUUUUUUUUAAUCAUACAUUCAAAUUUAAAAUUUGAAUUUGAGGGGGUAAAAUUGGAAAGAAAAGCACAAACAUCACAAUUAAACCACUAUUCUUAAAAAGUUGGAUUCCCCAAACAUAACCAAAUGAAUGGGACGGAGGGAGUAAUAGCGACAUCUACGGACUGGAUUGAAAAUAUAAUGCUGUUUUUAUUUUCUAUGUCACAAAAUGAUUGUCACUUGCUAAUAUUGACAAACCAUUUUUAUUCAAUUUUCGUCUUUCAACCAACCAUUAAGGUGAAAGAGGAAAGUGUAGAUUAAAGCUAUAAUUAUUGGUUUACAAAGUUGAAAAGUAAGUGGAAAAAUGACAAAACACAUAGGCCCACCAUUGGCUCCUUUUCAAGGAUUCCUAAAAAACUUUUGAAUUGUCAUCACUAAAUGAACAGGGCAAAGUUGGGAUAUUUUUCAGAUUUCCUUCUUCAAUGAUUUUUCUUUUUAGCUGAUAAGACUUUUAUGUUGACAAAUUGCUAUUACUACUGAUCGACAUGCGACGCGACUAAUAAAUUGGGAAGGAAGUAAUAAUAAUUAGUACGUACCAAAUGCAAACACUUGUGAGUAGACACGAAAAUUACUAUUUUAGUGUGUUUUAAAUAUUCGGCGAAUUUCUAGAAAUAAUGCUAAAUUUAGAAAAUAUCCCAUUUAUGGUAUUUCAUGAGAUUGUUUUCUUUACUUAGAGUCAUCUUUGACAAUAAAAUAGUAUUUUUAUUUUGAAUUAUUUUUUGGUGUCAGAAUGACUAAAAGUUUUAAUUUUUUUAUACAUCUUUGCGGGUGACUGUGAAAAUGACCAUUAGCCGCAUCCAAAAAGUGGAUGCGGCGACGCAAGAUGUCAGAAAUCUUAACCGUCAAGUUUUCUUAUUAUUUAUUUGGGAGCAAAUUAUCCCAGUGGCCACUAAACUUUUGCCAUCGUCGAGUUUUGGUCACUCAACUAUUAAAAGGCUGGUUUUGACCAUCAAACUGUAUAAAAGGUAGACUCGAACCCAUUCUGUUAGAUUUAGUCGUUAACUUCGCAGAGGUGUCCGUUUGCGCGAUUUCCAAUACAAAAGGUAGGGUCAAUUUAGAAAGUCGAAAAUAGAUCUUCUUGUUCUUCUUGUAUAAAGCUAAUAAAGAUUACUUACCCGAGAGAAACUACAAGAGAAGGAAAUGGAAGAAGCCCAACUUGGAUUAGAGGAAGCAGGACCAAGAUCAACGCCACCAAGAGCCGGGCCAGCAAGAUCCAUGCCACCUACAUCGUUGACACCCAUUUUGCCUACUUGUGUUUGUGGGAUGAAGACAGUAAUGAUAACUUCAUGGACUGUACAAAAUCCGGGAAGAAGAUUUGCCAAAUGCGCAUUGGGGGAGGUUUGUAACAUUUUUUUAGAUACUUAAUUUAUUAUUGUGUAAGAAAUAUAAUGAAUUUGUUUUUUUUUUAAGGAUGGCUGUGGCUAUUGGGGUUGGAUAGAUGAUGAAAUGUGCGCUCGAUCUACAAUGAUUAUACCGGGUCUACUCAGAAAGAUCAAUGGAAUGGAGGAAAAAAUGGUUGAAUUUGAAAAAGCUGCAAGAAAGUAGGAAGCAAAAGCUGUGAAAUUGGAGGGUAAAAUGAAGCCACUUCAAAUUAAAAUUGCCAAGUACAAAUCAGCCAAUAAGCGACUCAUUCGAUGCGCAGUGUUGCCUUGGCUAAUAGUUGUCUUAGCAAUGUUAGUUAUGAGAAUAGGUAAUUCUGGUGGCAUGCUACAAAUUUGUGGCAUCGUUGAAAAUCCUUGAAGAAUAGCUACUCUGUUGUAAUGGUAGCAUAUUGAAAGGGAAAGGGCAAAUGGCUUUAUAAAGCCCCUUUUGUACUCCUCUGUAUAAACAUUUUGAUGUAUAAAAGUUGUAUUGUUCACAUGAAUAAAUAGUUAUUAUUUGGUGUCAAAAAAGGUUUGAAACAACACAUUUCAGUUCUAUUAAUUUCAUCAAUAAAUGACAAAGACAUAAGAACUAAACAAAAGUGCUGCAUUAACAUAGAACAAUCUGUGUAGAUUGGACAAAAUAAAUUGUUUGUACAUAUGGACCAUGUUCGUAAUAGGUCAGUAUAUCAAAUCCAAAACAAACUUCAUACAAAAAGACAAAAUGUAGUUGAAUUAUGUCCCAAUCUAGCUAUAGCUUUCUUCCUCUUCAAUUUGAUCCUCUUUUGACUCUUGGUUGUCCUCUGGUAGUUGUUGCUGAAGUUCCUCCUCUUCUAAUACCAGUUCUACUCCAUUUUCCUCUCCAAUUUCCAACAGUGAAAGGAGGUUCUUUACUUAAAUAUGCAUAAUUGACAUUGAUCCGCCCCUUUUCUGAAUCUGUUAACUUUCGUUUUCCUGCUUUCCUUUGUUGAUGAGCCCCUUGGCUCUGAGACUGUUGUUGGUUUUGUACAACUUCUUCCUGCUGUCGAUGCUGUGCAUGUUCACUUUCCUCAACAGCAGAUUGUGAUUGCUGUUCUUGUUGGUUCUGCUGAUACUCUUGAUCCUGCUGCUGCUGUUGAUUCUGUUGCUAUUGCUGAUCCUGCUGCUGUUGCUGCUGCUGAUGUUGAUUUUGUUGCUGCUGCUGCUGAUUUUGCUGCUGCUGAUAUUGAUCCUGCUGCUGGUGUUGCUGGUGCUGUUGUUGGGUCUGCUGCUGCCUCUGGUGCUGCUGUUGGGCCUGAUGAUGCUGCAUCUGAUGCUGGUGUUGGGUCUGAUGUUGCCUCUGGUGCUAGUGUUGGGUCUGAUGUUGCCUCUGGUGCUGGUGUUGGGUCUGUUCAUGCUGACUCUGGUGCUGGUGUUGGUUCUGCUGUUGCUGCUGCAUAUUCUUAGAACCACGCUGCUGCUGUUGGUUCUGCUCCUGCUCCUCGCUAUCCUGAUUCUGCUGUUGUUGAUUGUCUUGUUGCUGCACCUUGCAACCAGCUGCAUUAUGGCCGGCAACACCACAUUUUCUGCAAUGGUUGACUAUUCUUCUCCGCAACCUGUUUCCAGUCUUUUGAGUUUCAGUAGGAUCUCUUCUCCUGGCCUUCUUAGGUCUGCCAGGUUGCACUAUCCUUUCUGGUGGAUCAAGAUCUACCCCAUCAGCUUCAGGCCACAUUACUUGUCCAUUGAUAGGAUACAAAACAUUUUUGUAAAUUUUUUGAAACAGAUCUCUGUUGUAGCAGUCAUACACCUCUUUAUAGGGGUCGCCAUUAUUUCUGUGAAUUGCUGCAAUAGCAUGACAGCAAGGAAUACUUGAUAGAUCCCACAGUUUGCAUGUGCAGGAUUUUUUCUUUAAAUAAACAGCAAACUGGGCCCCCCUUGGUCCCCUAACCUGGUAUCCAUCCACAGCAUUCCAAAUGGUCCUCCAUUGUCUUGAUUCUAUCACCCUAUCAUCAAUUAUUUUUUUAAUUAGUGGGCCAAUGGACAAUUCAAAUUUCUCCAUUGCAGUUGUCCUUCUCUGUAUCCUCUCCAUCAGAAAUAUCCUAAUGGACUCUAACAUUGUGAUAAUUGACUGCUGCCUAGCUUCAAGUAUAUGACCAUUAAAACUUUCACACAAAUUAUUAACCAACAUAUCGCAUCGAGUAUGUUCUUAAAAAAAAGUCUUACACCAAUGACUGGGAUGUGGUGCUUUCUUCACCCAUUCAUAUGCUUCCUUGUCAAAUUUUUCCAGAUCUGCUGCUGCUUUCUUGAAUAGUCCCUCAGUAGUACUUGCUGCAAUGUUCCACAGUUUUGUCUUCAGGGCAAGUCCACGAUGUUUCUUCUUGAAGUUGUUAUAUAGGUACUGCACACAGUAUCUGUGCUCACUGUUUGGUAGUACCUCAGAUAAUGCUCGGUCAAGACCCUAUAAAUUAUUACAAACAAAAGGCAUUAGUAAAUUGAAACAGAUCCGUGUACAGUGCAUAUACAAAGGGAAGGAGUUAAUACCUUCUGCUGGUCAGAAACAAAGGUGUAGCUGUACCCAUUUUCAAUCUGCAAGUCAUUCUUCAGCAGCUCAAAAAACCAUUUCCACUGUUCAGUUGCUUCCCUCUCAACCACUGCCCAAGCAAUGGGCCACCAUCCAUUGUUGGGAUCUACUCCAAUAGCAGUCAACAGAUGUCCCCGAUAUUCAGCCUUUAUGUGGCAUCCAUCAACCCCAAUAAUGGGCCUACAACCGUCAAGAAAGCCUUGUUUUAAUGGUCCCAAACAGCAAUAAAGUCUCAUGAAUUUUGGGUUGCAUCCAGGUUGUCUGAAGGGAGUAAACAUAACUUCCAUUGUGGUAUUUGGGUGUGUCCUCUUAAUUUCUGCACAAUAUCUCCAUAUGUCCUUAUAUUGCUACUCUGCAUUCCCUUGAAUCUCCUUUUUAGCAAUUGUCCUUGCAUUGUAUGCCACCCAUUUUGAAAUUUUCGCUUUGAAGUCCUCAUCAACUAUUUGUUUUAAUAAUCUUGGAGGCAUUUCAACAUUACAUCUAAAUCUCUCCAUGUACUUGUUUGCAAGCCACUUAGCAGAAAUAUUCUUGUUCUUCCAUACAUGACUGCAGUUUGUGUGCUCAUUAUUCAUGCUCUUGACAACCAAAUCAGCUAUUCCAAGUUCCCUCUCAACUGAAGCAUAAACAAACCAUUGGCAAGGAGGUUUGCAUUUUGCUCUAAACCUUUUUUUUCAUUUGUGUAUGGCUUUACUGGUUUUCCUUUCAUGAUGGAAUAUGUUCUAACAGCUAAUCUUAGCUGUUCAGCUGACUCAAACUUCAUUCCUAUGUGAAACUCAAAAUUAGGGUCUUUUAGAUCUCUCUCCGGAUUGAAAUCAACAUACCUAUUCCUCCAGUCAUCAUCAUUCUCUUCAUCUGAGGAGCCAGCAUCACUAUGCAACUCAGUCACCACUGUGUCUUUAUUUAAUGCAUGGACAUCAUCUAAAUGAGGAGCUGCCUCUUCUCCUGAUGCUCUAUUGUUGUUUCUUCUCCUUCUAACUUGCUUCUUCCUCCGCGACUGUUGGUUUCCAGUUCCCACAUCCGUGGAUUGUUCUUCAUUUGUCUCAGGCUGCUGCUGAUGUUCAAAUUCAGUUUCAAGUCCUGAUUGUUGUGACCAUGGAUCCAUCCCAGCUGUUUGUUGUUGUCUGCCUAGCUCAUCUACAACUGAUUCUUGCUGUUGUGCAGCAUUAUUACAAUCAUCAUUAGAAUUGGGAUGUUGUGAAGAUCUAGGUUGCUCUGUAUUUGAAGAAUCCACACCAGAUUUUAGCCCCUCAACAAUCAAUUCUUCUAACAUUUCUUCAUCCCUACAGAAAUCCCUAUCAGCACUAAAGCGAUCACAGUCUCCAUCCGAAUCAGUAUCAGUCUCCACUUGGCCAUCUAUAUUUCCUCUAUCAUUUGCAUCCCCAUCAUCCCCAUUAUUCAAGGCAUUCUCUUUAGAAGAGUUCCCAACAUCUAUCUUGCCAAUUGAUCUUGUAAAUGGCACUAGUUCAAAUCCAGGUUCCCUAAUAACAUUUCCAUUUUCGUCAAGUUCCUCGAUGGUGACUGCGGCUUUUUUACUCAACUGUAGAUCAGAAGGAAGGGACUUUGUGGCCAUCAUCUUGAUUUCAUUCUUUGACUGGUGGUCACAGUACACCUCCAUGAUUUUAUGCUUAUAAGCCUAAUUGCAAAAACUGAUAAUGGCUUUAUCAGUAGAUAAUUCCUUCAACCCAUUUCGAAAAUCUUUUCCAGGCUCAACAUAGUAAUACACCAUACAUCCAUAAUGCCCUAAUUUAUCCACCAUGUAGUUUAUUUCAUGCACAGACAUUGUUUCCGCAUCACAUAAAUCAACAUAAUCUACAUGCCCAUCAAUGUAUCUGUAAUUUUGCCAAUUGAAUUUACCCCCAUGAUACAUUCGUAUGGUGAACAGAGAAGAACCUGGCACUGCAUGACAUGCGAUUAGUUAAAAAAAUUAAAAUUUUAGUCAAAACUAGUAAACCCAAAUUCAAUGAAUGAAUUAUUUAUUAACCCUUUUUUCCAGCAUUAAGAAUACUUUAAUCAGUGUACUUUGAAAUCUCUAUGCUUUAUUGCAAAAAGCCAAAACAACGAUAAAAUGUAGCCCAUACAUACAUGAAACACACAAUCUAUUCUGGGAUGUGGAUAACUAAACAAACUUAGGGAUUUUAAAACUUUACCGUAUGCAUCAGAUGGAUCAAAAUGCUGGCCCCUUGGUCUAAUCACCCACUUGGGCCACUCCAUCGUUCCACGAAAUGAAGAUCUUGUUUGUCAACCCGUUCUGCUGUCGCUCAAUCCCCCAAAAUUCUUCGUUGUUGCGUUUUUCUUUAAUUGUCAAUUGUUUGAUGUUUGGGUUUAGGCAAGGAAGAAGAAGAACAGAUGCAUGGGAGAGGAAGAAGAGGUGCAAGUGAUAUUUUCGACUUCCUAAAUUGACCCUACCUUUUGUAUUGGAAAUCGCGCGGACAGACACCUCUGCAAAGUUAACGACUAAAUUUAACAGAAUGGACUCGAGUCUACCUUUAAUACAGUUUGAUGGUCAAAACCAGCCUUUUAAUAGUUGAGUGACCAAAACUCGACGAUGGCAAAAGUUUAGUGGCCACUGGGAUAAUUUGCUCUUUAUUUGGUUCAUGGAUAUGUGAUCGGUAUUUGCCAAAUUUGUCAAACACAUGCCCAACUUUCUAUAGGGAAAUUUAGGAAUAAUUUUAGAAGCUUCCCCUAAAGUUUCUAAUAAUUUUACUAUCCUUUCCUAAAAUUUUAAAAAUAUUAUUAACCUCUUUUAAAACUAAUUUUCUUGUGACAAAUUACUAGGACCGUCAAUGACGCCGAACCAACUAGAGCUCAACCUAUUUGGCCCCAAAAAAGAUCCAUGAGUCUAAAGUAUAAUUGAAUCGGGCAAAGUUUUGAUCUAAAUAUUAGAUCCGGACAAAAUGUAAGUCAAAUUUGAGUCAUUCUAGGUUCAUGCCUGAUUAAAACUACACCCAUGUAUGAGUAUAAUUAUAUAUGUAAAAUAUAUAUGAUAAUAUAUAUAAUUUAUAAUUAUUUAUACUACAUAUACUACAUAUAAAUGCAGAGGAGGGUGUUUGGGGUAAACAAAAAUCUGUCACUUUAUAUACUUCAUGAACUACCCUUGAUGAUGAAGAAACUUUUGGUAUAAACAAAAAUUUAUCUUUCUUUGAUAGCUACCCACUACCAAUAUGAUUUUUACCAAAUAAUAUGUAUUUUUUCAUAUUCUAUUUUUCAACUUAUUUAGUAACUCUUAAUUUUAAUUAGCAACUACCAAUUAUGGUUCUGAAUAACUAUUAAAUAACUACUUUUUAUAACUUUUAUUAUUUUAAAAUUUUCACAUAUGUAUUUUCAAAAUAUAAAAUCAAUUUUCUUAAAAAUUAUUUUAAUAAAUAUACUCAAUAUAUUUUACAAAUACUUUUUCUAUUAGUUGCACACACAUUAGUAUGUGUCUUAAAUACUAGUACAUAUUGCGACAUAAAAUGUUAAUAAUUUAUAUGUAAAUUUGCAUUAAUUCAUAAUUAUAAAGUAUAUAUUAUAUAUAAUUAUGUAUUUAAUUAUAAGUUUGGGCCAAACCCGAUUUGAUUCUGAAACUCAUAUAAUAGUGUGAGUUGAGAUUAAACCUUUUUAAUAUAAACAAGAAUCCCAAAAGCUUGAAACCUGAAAAUUCAUAUAAUUUGUGAACUAAGUUUGGGCUUGCUAAAGUCCGAUUGACACCACUACAAAUUAUCCCAAUUCGUAAAAAAAUUAAUAACAAAAAAAUGUGCAUUCAUUUUUUUUGUUAUUAUUGGUUUGAAAUUAAUACUAAUAAAAAGCUAUUAUUCGUUUGAAAAGCUAUUCUUUUUUUUUUUAUUAUUCUUCUGUCCUGGAACUUGGAUAUUUGAGUAUAGUAACAUGUGUAUACUGGGGGAAGACCCUUCUGCUAUUUGUGGCAGCUGUUUCGGAAGAUGUAUCCCGAUGAUAAUUCUUCCCGAAGAAAAUGGCAUAGUGGAAUGAGGCCGUAGAGAAUUGUGCAUCGCCACAUCCGCUUUUGGAUGGGCAAAUGGUAAUUUUCACAAAGAUGCAUAUAAAAGAAUAAAAUAUCUUUAGUCAUUCUGACACCAGAAAAAAAAAUUUUCAAAACAAAAAUACUAUUUCGCCCAAAUGCGGCGAUUCUAAGUGCAGAAAACAAUCUCAUCGAACACUUUAAAUGAGAUAUUUUCUAAAUUUAGGAUUAUUUGUAGAAAUUUGUCCAAAUAUCCAUACAAAUUAAACUUGACUCUAACUCUAUGUCCUAAGCUCUAACAAUAUUUGAACUCUUAAAAGUUUUUGGUCCAAGGCUGCACUGCCAUGCUUGCGUCCAAGGCUGCACUGCCAUGCUUGCAUCAACAAAAUAUAUGUUUGGAAGCUCCAAAGUACCGUUUUGUAAAUUGAGUUCAUUGCAUUUAUCUCCCUAGAGGUUUAUCUAAAUCACAGCAAUAAAUCCAUAGUUUUUUUUAAGGGUAAAUAACCUUUUAUCUCUCUAUGAUUUGGUGCUUUACCACAUGACUCUCUUAUAGUUUAAAAAUCUAUAUAUACCACAUGACCUCCAUAUAGUUGAAAAACCUAUAUAUAAUCCUUUCGUGAUUUGGGUUAAAGUGAUACCAUUAGUUUUUCCAUUAAAACUAAUGGUCAAUAGUAAAAAGUCAAAAUCAAACUAAUAAAUUGACAAAUUCACUCUUUCACUACUUUUUUCGUUUUCUUUCUUUUUUUUUUUGUGGAAGCGAAGAGAUGAUUUGGAAACAUAUACUUUGGCCUAUAAAACCUUAAUUUUCUCCAAUUACAAAAGAGAUGAGAGGGAAAUAAAAAUAAAUGAAUAAGAAACAAAAAAGAUGGAAGGGAAAUAUAAAACAAAUAAAUAAGAAAGAAAAAAUACCAAAUCUUUUUUAUUACAAAUAUCAUUAUAGAUUUUUAAACCAAAUCUUUAAUGGUAUUUUCUAGUUCUUAUUUAUCUAUUUUGUAUUUCAAUUUCUUCCUUUUUAUGUUUGGAGGGGAAUAAAAAGAAGUAAUGAAAGGGUAAAUUUGUUAAGUUAUUAGUUUGAUUUUGACUUUUACUAUUAACCAUUUGUUUUAAUGGAAAAACAAACAAUUACAUAUUAACUCAAAUCAUGAGAGGGUUAUAUAUAGGUUUUUAAAUCAUAUGGGGGUUAUGUGGUAAAGUACAAAGGAUAAAAGUUAAUUUAUCCUUUUUCCAAAUCAGCCCAACAUUUUAAAUAGCCAAACAUUUGCCACUGCUCAAUUGCAUCAUUUGCAACAGAAGUUUUUGAAAUUAUCAAAAUACUGAUUUUCUAUCAUCCUUCUUCCAGCCAUUCUUUCAUCUUUCUAUAGAUUAAAGUUAGUGUAACCAAAACUCUAGUCAUAUGACAUCACUAAUAAUAGUAUAUUUCAUUGAGUGUAGUUUCUUGAACCUCCACUAUUAUAUUUUUUACAUUCCAAACUCUUUUCUAUUUCAACGUGCAAAUAAUCAAACUUCGUUUUCCAAAAAACAAAAGUAACUAUCAAUACUGAAUUCAAAUAUAAACAUAAAAUUUUAGGAUUUUUAUACAAAGACACACAUAUGAAAGUUAGAAGUAAAUAUCAAACAAAGACACUUUUCUUGGUUUAAGGAUAGGAAUUUAAUGUCAUGUUUUCUUAAAUUUAUUAUUACAUUUUUAAAAAUUUAAUGCUUUGUUAUGGAUAAAAAUCCGUAAAGUUUAGCUCAAUUUUAUUGUUCCUUACGAAAUUAGAUAUUUAAAUAAAAUAGAUAAUUUGUUGUAUGGAAACAAUGAAUUGGACCAGUGUGGUAGCGACUGAAAUAAGCCAUAUGCAGUUGAAAAAGAAAUUGUUUAUUUUCUUUUAAUCCAUAUUUAUUUUUUUGGAUAUAUUAAGGAGUUUUUUAAGAGUGGCUAUUCAAAGGGUUAAAACACAUUUUGGUCAAAUCUUAGACUCCUUUUUAUUUAGACAAACAUCAAGGGAGAUAAAUGCAGUUUCGCAGAGGGUAGUUUUGUCAUUUCACUACUUCUAAUUGGGUUUAGACACUGACUCAUAAGGGAUAAUUCGAAUUUAGUGAAACCGCAGAGUUUACUCAAUAAUACGGCCAAACCUUAGCGGAAGUACAUGCAUUAACCCUUUUUUAUUUAAAAAAAAAAGAGAUAGAGAGAAUUUUUAUUAAUCAGAUUGCUGAAAAUCGUUCAACAUUGGUUUCUUGACAAAAGCAAGAUGGCGGUAUAUUCUAUAAGGAAUCCACGAAAGCUGAAGAAUUUAGCUAUAGAAUUCAACAAAGCUACAGGAUUUUGGCAUAACAAGUCAAUUCAGGAGCUAUUGUUUUUGCCUCCAUUGUAUCCGAUUUACAUCCACAUCUGUAAUUCUAUAUAGUAUCAGACAAAACCUUAGGAAUAUCUUCUACUACUGGCCCCAUUGUAGAAAAAUCAUCAUCUUCACUAUUCAGCAAUUAAAUAACCGAUAAAGAGUCUCCUUCAAGUGUAAUAUUCGGAGUGAACAGAUUUUAUUGCUGAAUUAAUUGCCUCCUUUGUAGCAAUGGCUUCUUUCCUUCUUCGAUUCAACUGUCCCUUGGGAUAUCGUAGAGUUUAAUGCACCCUCAAAAUCAACAUUAAAUUGAUCCAUCGUACACUACCCCGCAAGAGGAACCUAGAGGUUCCACAUUGGCUUCUUUCAAAGCUACUAGGGAAUUAAUCACAAAGCGAACCAUUGAUAAAGGUUCUCCAUGCUUGCCAUCAAACAAAACCAAGUUCUGAUUGUUCCAAAUCUCAUCACAAAGAGUAGCAAACAGCUCCGAAUCCUCACUUGAAAAGAACUCACAAAAUUUCUGUAAUCCAAAGAUGAACACCAACUGAAUAGGUAUUUUCAUCAAUAUGACACCUUAAGUUUCAAACAAAUAGUGAUAUUAAAGGUUUUAGGAUUUAAAAAGCAAGGAAAUAGAAGGAUAAAAUGAGAUGUGAAUUAUAUAGACAAGUUACCUGUCAAACUAGGAAUUGUAAUUUUAAAAAAAAAACUACUUGAAAAAGCUAAUUAUUUAUUUUUCUUAUUCUUUUUCAUUUAAAAUGUGGGGUUUGUAUGAAAUUUUUGUGGCUCAAGUACUAUUACCACAUUUGAAUUGUAUUCAAUUGAUAAUAGUAAACAAAAUUAAUAUUCAAAUGUAAAGGACUAAAGUGAUAAAGUCACGAGUUAAAGGUCUAAAUAGAUAUUUUGAUAAAAGUUUGAGGACUUCUAAUAUACUGUAACUUAUCUGAAUGUAUAUCACUGGGAUUAGAGUUCUGUUUGCAUGUCAACAAAACAUUUUUUCAAAAUGAAAAUUAUGUGAGGCCUCUACAGUAGAAAAUCAAGCAAUUAAGAAUACUUACGUUACUACUUUGUAUCAUCUAUUUUUCGCCCCUUGAAUAAAGUUCUUUGCAUUCUUCUUGUUAUUGAAGAAGAUGAAACUAGUUAUCUAAAUCGAAAAAUAAAUUUUGGCUUCAAAUUUAAGGUACCAGUUAAACAUAGCAUAGAUUUUGUCAAAGAGUAACAUUAUACAAUAUCGUUAAAUUCAAACUGGAUAAAACUCGGUUAAACUACUAGGAUAGGGGUCAACUGAUCGGAUCAGUCAGAUGGUUCUGAAAAAAUCCACUGAAGUGAGUAUGAUAUUUUAAUUAUUUUAUAUUUUUAUAAGUUUCAAAAAUAUUAAAAUUAAGUUCUUAGUUAUAUUCGGCCAACCAUAAAAAUGUUACAAAAAAUUUAGGCUUGCAAUCAAAUAUACACCUAAAAAUUAUAUAUAAAAAUAUGAAUUCGUGUCUAAAUUAUGUACUUAAAAACUAAAUUAAAACAAAUCAUUCCCAAUUCGAGAUCUUUUUGCUAGGAAUAUGACUUUAUAAUGCAAGUUAGAAUCACUAAUGAUAAAUUGAUAAGAUGAUAUGGAUGAAAACCUCUUGAUUUAGAGAUCAUUGAGGGAAGCUAGUGAUUUUGAUGUUUACAUUAAAUGAGUGACAUUUUCUUAUUUCUAUUAAUAAAUGAAAGUUUUAUACUUUAGCUAACUCAAAUUAUGUUUCGGGAGAACAAGAAAGAAAAGUUUGAGAAUCGGGUCACUAAUUUGGCUUAUUUUUAAUGAUUUUGAUUGAUUUUUUAUCAAAGUAAUUUUAUGCUACAAACUACUUUCGAAAAAAGGUCGGUUCAUAUUCAGACAACAUUGACAUUAUAUGGAUAAAGCAUUUGUGAACAAACUUAUACCAAGACUAGUUGUUAGUUCAAGAGAGUUGGGACAGAUAAAUUUGUGCAAAAAUUAAUUAUCAAAGGGUAAUUACCAUUUCAACUUUUAUAAAAAAUGUCCAUGUUUAAGGAACAAUUGAAGGCACGUCAGUCAUCCAAUUAGUCUAAAGCUAAUAAUUAUAGAACAAACUACAUUGGCAUCAUAUUCUUGACGGGAAAGAACCUCAAGGGCUAUCUAAGCUGGGGUUUUGAUCGUAGAGCUGAGUCUUAAGUGCAACAUCAAAGAUUAUAUUUAACACUCAAUGAAAUAACCUCAUCGUAUUUUCCAAGUUUGAGAAAAAAGAAAUCAAUAAAUUUUGUUAGGGCAAGCAAUAGAAAUUAAAAAAUAGAUUUAAUUAGCUUUUCUAAGUUAUUUAUUAUUCAAUUCUCUAGCAUACAUAUAUUGUAAUUUCGAUAUAACUACUGUAUCUCAUUUCAUCUUGAAACUUUUAAUACCACUAUUUAAAUUUUAAGAAACCAUCUUAGUUGAAACUUCAACAUUAUGAUCAACAAUGCCAAGUCAAAACUUCGCCAUUAUGAUCGAGUCAUAAUUAAUGAUCAACAAUGCCAAGUUACAGCAAUUUGAUUUUGAACUUCGCCAUCCUGAUUUUUUGUCAAUUAUCCUAAAUUUGCACAAAAUCCGAAGCAUCGAGGACCACAUUUGCAAAAGUCAAAAGUUUAGGGACUACAUAAUUCAUAAAAUGGAUCGAUUAUAGCGUAAUUUCCAGCAACUUGGGGGUCUUUUGUUUUGCUGGCUGUAGUCCAUUGGGUGCACGUGAACUUCGUGGGAAAUUGGUGGCGUUCAAUUAUUUAACCUUUGCAAGUUGGUGAGUGGUCUGGCAGCUCUUUUGAUUUUUUUUUUUUUUUUGCUGUAGAUAGGAUUCGAAUAUCCAACCUGCAGUUCAAAAAAAGGGACUUUAGUCCCUAUUUGAUAGCCACUACCUUUCCAAGUUGGCAAGCUGUCUUGUUUACAUAAAGGUUGGGAUUUUACUGUGGAAUAUUUGAAUAUCGAACGAUAACAGUACAAUACUAAAAAAAAAUUUACUGCUAUUGUCUAUUGUGGAUAAUUCAAGCAACUAUUUUAGAAAAUGACUCUCAUAAUUAUGGUCAAGCCAAGCCAAUCCAACAGUGCUCCCAAGCUCGAAAAUACAGCAAAAGGUAAAAUGAUUUGAAACCGGAUCGACAAGUGAAUUGGACGAGCUUCCUAUUUCUGGCUCAAUCAAUUCAACCAGUUCAACUCCGAUUUAAUGAUUUUAUAAAUUUUUAAUUAUAUUAACAUUAAAUAACUUGAAUAAUAUUAAUAUAUGAAAAAUAAUGAAAAAUCGGUCCAAAGGCCGGCUGUUUACUGAUCCAAUAGUGCUCCCAAGCAUGAAAAUAUAGCAAAAGGCAAUAUUUUGAAAUUGGGACCUACAAGUGAACUGGAUGAAUUUUUUAUUCAAUUAAUUUUGCGGUUCAAUCUCUGUUUAGUGAUUUUAUUAUUAUUUUUGUUUAUUUUAAAAUUAAAUUUUUUGGAUAAAAUUAAUAUAUGAGCUAGAAAUAAAAUUUUUGUGUAAAACCAGUUCAAAGACCUUUUUUUUCUUAUCGAUUUUGAUUCAUCUGAUCGAUUUUUGAUCGAAUUUGAUUGAUUCAAUUGAGUUUCUGGGUUAAAUAUAGAAAAACAAAUUAUUCGGGAAAUCACUAAACCUUUUUAAUAGUCAAGAUUUAGCCACUCAAUUAUUAAUAGUUUGUUGUUUUCCAUUAAACUGUUAAUAAUAUAAAUUUUGUGCCAUUUCGUCUAAUUUCACUAUUGACUCUGUUAGAUCUAAGGGUCUAUACAAGAUAUAUUAGUAAUGGUUAAAUCUGGUAGAGUUAAUGACAAAUUAGAUGGAAUUGCCUAAAAUUUAAAUUUUUAAUAAUUUAGUAGGUAAAAAUUACUAUUUAUAGCUUAAUGACUAAAACUUGACUAUUCAAAAAAUUUAAUGGUCGCAGGGAUAAUUUGCUCUAAGAUCUAAGCCAUGGUUGGUUUGACGGUGGCAAAAGGUACACAUUCCACGUUUUUCGGUAAAACGCGGUAUGGUAAAUAUUCUUAGAACUAUUGCCGUAAAUCUGAAAUCACCUAUAAAAGGGUCCAUCUUUGGGCAACCAAUUUCACCCCCAAAUAAAUCCGCGAAACUAACUGAGAAAAAGAAAAAGAAAAUGGCUGCCAGUUUACGACCACUGUUCUUAGCAAUAAUAUCCCUGCUGAUGAUAUCUUCAUUGACCAGGUCCUCAGAAGGCGCUGGAAUCGCAGUCUACUGGGGCCAAAAUGGCAAUGAAGGAAGCCUGGAAGAGGCCUGCCGUAGUGGCAACUAUGACUAUGUAAAUAUUGCCUUUCUGGUAUCCUUUGGCAGUGGCCAAACACCGGAACUGAACUUAGCUGGCCACUGUAUCCCGAGCCCAUGCACCUUCCUGAGUUCUCAGAUAGAGGUUUGCCAGAGCCUGGGCAUCAAAGUGCUCCUUUCUCUUGGUGGAGGUGGUGCCGGGGCAGGGAGAGGGCCAAUCCUGGCUUCUCCCGAGGAUGCUCGCGAUGUUGCAGCCUACCUCUGGAACAAUUACUUGGGCGGUCAAUCAGACUCUCGCCCACUUGGUGCUGCUGUUUUAGAUGGUAUAGACUUUGACAUCGAAUAUGGAUCGAACCUGUACUGGGAUGAUCUCGCCCGGGCACUCUCGGGAUACAGCACAGCAGAGAGAAAGGUGUACUUAUCUGCAGCACCACAAUGCUUCUUUCCUGACUAUUAUCUUGAUGCUGCUAUCAGAACUGGCCUCUUUGAUUUCGUCUGGGUGCAGUUUUACAACAAUCCGCUUUGUCAGUAUGGUACAACCACAGGCAAUGCCGAUAACCUCUUGAACAGUUGGAGUAUUUGGUCUGCCUCUUCAGGCGUUAAUAAAUUAUUCCUGGGAUUACCUGCAGCCGAAGCGGCCGCACCUGGUGGCGGUUACAUCCCACCUGAAGUGCUAGUUGAACAGAUUCUUCCCGUUGUGCAGAGCUAUCCCAAGUAUGGAGGGGUCAUGCUUUGGAGCAGAUACUAUGACCAAAACUACAGUACAGCAAUCAGGCCUUAUGUUAACGGUGAUCCUCUGACUUAUACAACCAAGUCCGUGAAAAAAUCCCAUGCUGUAGCAUGAGUUCCUCUCAUUAUCUGCCGCGAGAUGAAAUGUAGUCCUGGCUGCUUAUGCCAGAGAUCAAUCUACUAAUGAAUAAUGGGCUAUGAGUUCCCAAAUCGAUUAAAAUGUUCAGUAAAUUUCUUCCCGUUUUAACCGCGCUCUCUCUCUCGAAUGAAGGGGUACAAGAUCUAGUUUGAAGAACCAGUUGCACCUUCUCUUUUUUUUAUUUUUUAUACAACAUCUUCUAGAUAAUAAUUUUUCGAUAAUAUUCAAACCACAUUGAAAUUGAAAAAGAAAAUGUUAAUUUGCAAUUGAAGUUUGAGGAACAGUAUCUAUUUCCCCUCAUAUUUCAAUGCAAGUCACUUUGAGACUUAUGACAAUUUCACUAACCUCCCAUCAAAUCUGAAAAACAACGAUUACCUCCCCUCUUCUUAGAUUUGGUCUGAUGAUUUCAGUGUAUUUGGUAUACAUUCCUACAACAAAGGGAUAACAAUCGAAGGGCUUUCGUUUUUAUUAAUUUUUUGGAGUACAAAUUAAUUUCUCAUUAGCAUGUUAUGAAACAUAUGAUAUUCUUGUUCUCAACAAUUUCUUUCUACUAAAAAAUGAAUAGAGAGAAGGGGGAAAAAAGUAAGCCUCAGCUGAUUAAAUUAUGUCCACGCAUAAAUUGUCACAAAGGUUUCUUAAGGGAAAAAGGGUUGGGGGUGGGGGCGGGGGUUCCCUGGGUUAAUUUAACCAAAAUUGAUUAAAGUAAUGAGGUUGGCUUGAUUAAAUUAUGUUUAUCACAAUUGGGUCAUUUCUUAAAAUAUUGACCUUAACAAAGAUGAUCCAUUUCUUGAAAAUGGGCUUUCCUAGAAAAUUUGCGUUCUAGAAAAGCCAUUCUUGGGCAGAUGAUGAAUAAGACUUCGUAUUUUGGGCUGAAUGAAAUGGAUGACACGCCAAAUUUGAUUAUUUAGCCACCGAAUAAAUAUGUUGGGUUUUAUAAAUCACUAUAAGUAAUGGUGUCUUAACUUUGGUUAAUUAGUUAAUUUAGAACACGCAUGGUGAAAUUGGGCUGACAAAGAAAAUAUUAAAGGAUGAUAACGUUUAUAGUGAGCCAAGUACAAUUAUUAUGAAACAAAAUGCCUCACAUUCACAAAUCCCUCAAAUGCUAUCUUUCAAUGCCAAUAAACUACUGGUAUCCAACUCCAAGAUCGCUCCAAAAUUCUAGCCCAAUCAGACACUGUUCCCUUGUUCACAAAAUAAACUUUUACCUCUCUAUGAUUUGUUGCUUUACCACGUGAUUUCCUUAUUAGUUUAAAAACUCAUAUAUACCACAUGACCCCUUAUUGUUUAAAAACCUAUAUAUAAUUCCUUCAUGGUUUGGGUUAAAGUGUUACCAUUGAUUUUUUUCAUUAAAACUAAUGGUCAAUAGUAAAGCGUUAAAAUUAAACUAAUAAAUUGACAAAUUCACUCUUUCACUAUUUUUUUUCCAUUUUCUUUCUUUUUUUUGGUGGAAGAGAAGAGAUGAUUUGGAAACAUAUACUUUGGCCUAUAAAACCUUAAUUUUCUCCAAUUACAAAAGAGAUGGGAGGGAAAUAAAAAAGUAAAUGAGUAAGAAACAAAAAAGAUGGAAGGGAAAUAUAAAACAAAUAAAUAAGAAACAAAAAAUAUCAAAUCUUUUUUUAUCACUAAUAUCAUUACAGAUUUUUAAACCAAAUCUUUGAUGGUAUUUUCUUAUUCUUAUUUAUCUAUUUUUUAUUUUAAUUUCUUCUUUUUUAUGUUUAGAGGGGUAUAAAAGGAAUUAAUGAAAGGGUAAAUUUCUUAAUUUAUUAGUUUAAUUUUGACUUUUACUAUUAACCAUUUGUUUUAAUGAAAAAACUAACAGUCACAUAUUAUCUAAAAUCAUGAGAGGGUUAUAUACAAGUUUUCAAAUCAUAUGGGGUUUACGUGGUAAAGUACCAAACUACAAGGGGUAAAAGGUAAUUUAUCCUUUUUCCAAAUCAGCCCAACAUUUUAAAUUGCCAAACAUUUGCCACUGCUCAAUUGCAUCACUUGCAACAGAAUUUUUUGAAAUUAUCAAAAUACUUGUUUUCUAUCAUCACCAAAUUCAUCCAAACUCACAAAAUUUAUAAAAUAAAAAUCCCAUACAUGUUUAAUCCUUGACAAAUAGCAAUCCAAACAAGGUAACAAGUUUAUGUUCAAUUCUUGAUAAAUAUCAAUCUAAAUAAAGUAACAUGUUCAAUUUCUAAACCAAAGUACUAUCUAAGCCAUUAUUCACCUUCAUCUUCAUUAUCCGUAUCUCCGAUUUCUUAACUUUCAAAAUCGAUAUCAUCAAGAUCAUCCUCAUCAUCAAGUUGCACAAUAUUUGUGUCGUUCUUACCUAAAAAUCAUUUAAAUACUCAUAAAUAAAAAUAUUCAAAAAUAGACAAGAACUAAAAAGAAACUUAGAUAAAGUUAGCAAAUGCAUUCCAAAAUUCAUCUAUGUAGCUAAUAAUGGUCCAUUGAUUACAUGCUUGGCAACCUGAAUCUUGAUUGGAGGCAUUCAAAGCUCAAGUAAUUGAUAUUAAAUACAUUUUAAAAGCAUAUAAUGCUUUCCUUGACUAUCAUUUUAAAAGAAUUGCCCAAACUCCAUUUAUUAGUCAUACGAGUUUUCCCAUCUUCUAAUCUACUAUUUUCACUUGUCAUCUGAUCAUAUUAUAGGUUAAGCCCAUCUUCCGGAUUUCCAUGAAUACAAUGGUCUAAAAUCAAAGCAUCCCAGGAAACUAAACUCUUCAUCGGCAUCCUUCCACAUCUAUUAUACAUAUCAAUUAAGGACGACGUGUUAACAAUCAAACUCAAAUUUCCAGAUUCUGUAAUAAGAGUUCCGUGAAUUGAUUUUCCUUGUUUCAAUCUGGCAGACCUACCACAAGCAGUAAGCACAUUCACCAUAAUUGUUUCAUUGCCUUAAAUCCGAGCUUCACCAUUUCCCUGAAUAACUUCAACCCAUUUCCAGGAUUCCCCAGAUCCAAAUAACCUGUCCUCAUUAUAUUCCAUGAAACAAUAUAUUCCACAAAACAACACCACAGUUUGUUUUCUCUAAAUCAACAGAUACCAUUUUUUUUCUAGUGUCAUUUUGAGUUUAUCAACAACUUGUCUCUUUAAAUAAAAAAAUUAAAAACACCACUACCAACUGAAAAACUUUAUUCACACCCGUAACAUCCAAAUCCCAAAUACCCAGCAUAAUGAAUCAAAAAAAAAAAAUACUGAAAUUUCAGUCUGAUUGUUCCAAAUCUCAUCACAAAGAGUAGCAAAAAGCUCCGAAUCCUCACUUGAAAAGACUUCACAAAAUUGAAAGAUGAUCACCAACUGAAUAAGUAUUUUCAUCAAUGUGAUACCUUAAGUUUCAAAUAGUGGUAUUAAAGGUUUUAGGAUUUAAGAAGCGUGGAGAGAGAAGGAUAAAAUGAGAUGUGAAUUAUAUAGACAAGUUACAUGUCAAACUAGGAAUUGUAAUUAAAAAAACAAAUUGAAAAAGCUUAUUAUUUAUUUUUCUUAUUCUUUUUGCUUUAAAAUGUGGGUUUUAUAUGAAAUUUUUGUCAGUCAAGUACUAUUACCACAUUUGAAUUGUAUUCAAUUGAUAAUAAUAAACUAAAUUAAUAUUCUAAUGUAAAGGACUAAAGUGAUAAAGUUAAAAGUUAAAGGUCUAAAUAGAUAUUUUGAUAAAAGUUUGAGGACUUCUAAUAUACUGUGACUUAUCUGAAUUUAUAUCAAUGGGAUUAGAGUUCUGUUUGCAUGUCAACAAAACAUUUUUCCAAAAUGAAAAUUAUGUGAGGCCUCUACAGUGGAAAGUCAAGCAAUUAAGAAUACUUUUGUUACUACUUUGUAUCAUCUAUUUUUCCCCCCUUGAAUAAGUUCUUUGCAUUCUUGUUGUUAUUGAAGAAGAUGAAACUAGUUAGCUAAAUUAAAAAAUAAAUUUUGGCUUCAAAUUUAAGGUACCAGUUAAAUAGAGCAUAGAUUUUGUCAAAGAGUAACAUUAUACAAUAUUGUUGAAUUCAGACACUUAUCGGAUCGGCCAGACCAUUCUAAAAAAUUCUCUGAAGUUAGCAUGAUGUCAUAAUUAUUUUAUAUUUUUAUAAGUUUUAGAAAUAUUGAAAUUAAAUUUUUUGUUAUACUUGGCCAACCAUAAAAAUGUUACAAAAAUAUUAGGCUUGUAAUCAAAUAUACAACUAAAAAUUAUAUAUAAAUAUAUGAAUUCGUGUCUAAAAUAUUUCCAUUCUCUAAAAUUACUUAAAAACUAAAUUAAAACAAAUCAUACCCAAUUCGAGAUCUUUUUGCUUGGAAUAUGACUUUAUAAUACAGGAAUCACUAAUGAUAAAUUGAUAAGAUGAUAAGGAUGAAAACUUCUUCAUUUAGAGAUCAUUGAGGGAAGCGAGUGAUUUUAAUGUUUAUACUAAGUUAGUGGCAUUUUCUUAUUUCUAUUAAUAAAUAAAAGUUUUACACUUUAAGUAACUCAAAUUAUGUUUCAGGGGAACAAGAGAGAAAAGUUUGAGAAUUGAGUCAAAUAGUUGAAUCGAAUCACUAGUUUGGCUGAUUUUGAUAGUUUUGAUUAAUUUUUGACUAAAAUGAUUUUGUGCUACUAACUACCUUCGGAAAAAAGUAGAUUCAUAUUCAGACUGAUCGGUUUGGUUUGGGACAACACUGACAUUAUAUGGAUAAAGCAUUUGUGAACAAACUUAUACCAAGACUAGUUGUUAGUUCAAGAGAGUUGGGACUGAUAAAUUUUCAACAAGUCUAUAAUUUGUGCAAAAAUUAAUUAUUCAAAGGGUAAUUACCAUUUCAACUUUUAUAAAAAAAAUGUCCAUGUUUAAGGAACAAUUGAAGGCACGUCAGUCAUCCAAUUAGUCUAAAGCUAAUAAUUAUAGAACAAACUACAUUGGCAUCGUAUUCUUGACGGGGAAAGAACCUCAGGGGCUGUCGAAGCUGGGGUUUCGAUCGUAGAGCUGGUUCUUAAGUGCGACAUCGACGACUAUAUUUAAUAGUCAAUGAAAUAACCGCAACCUAUUUUCCAAGUUUGAGAAAAAGAAAUCAAUAAAUUUUGUUAGGGCAAGCAAUAAAAAAAUAAAAAAAGAUUUAAUACGCUUUUCUAAGAUAUUUAUUAUUCAAUUCUUUAGCAUACAUAUAUUGUAAUUUUGAUAUAAUUGUAUCUCAUUUCAUCUUAAAGCUUUUAAAUUUUAAGAAACCAUCUUAACUGAAACUUCAACAUUAUGAUCAACAAGGCCAAGUCAAAACUUCACCAUUUUGAUCAAGUCAUAAUGAUCAACUAUGCCAAGUUGCAGCAAUUUGAUUUUGAACUUCGCCACCCUGAUUUUUUGUCAAUUAUCCUAAGGGUAUGUUUGGUUCCCUAUGUAAUUGGGAUUUAGAAUUAGAAUUGGGGCUCCAAUUCUAAUUCUGUUGUUUGGAUUCUGCUUCACUUGAAGAAUAAGAAUUCAAUCUGAAUUCUAUAGGGGUCCAAUUCCAUAAAUUGAAUUCUUUAUUGGACCAAAAGAAUCCUAAUUCCAAUUCCACAACUAAACCCUAAGAAACGGAUCUACACGCAGAUCUAAUAUGGGUAAAAAAUUAAAAGCGGGUCAAGUAUUCAAGCAUCUCUCUCUCCCAUUCUACUCACAAUGGAUCUUCUAUCCCACACCCUGUGUUGGAUCUUAAGGAAACAAAAAAGAACUAAAAUAUGAUAUUUAUGAAGGAGAAAUAGUAAUCUAUAUCUAUAUAAAUUUGAGAAGGGAUUUUUAGCAACAAGCCUCAUAUAUCUUCCCAUUACCAAUUCCAUUUUUCUAGCAUUUCACAUUUAAUUUAAUUUAUAAAAUAUAUUUCUCUCAACUUCCACAUCUACUCUUCACAUUUGAAAUUAUUGGUUAGUUUUUAAAAUCAUUUCAUUUCAAAUUGUUGAUUGAUGUGCAUGUUAUCUUAUUUGAACUUCAACCCAUCACGUUUUCGAUUGCCUUGCGUUAUUUAUGGUUCUAUAGCAAUUAAAACUUCUAUAAGAUCAUAAGAAGAGAUAACAAAUAUAACAUCCUUUCAUGCUUUCUUAUUAAUUUAAAUAAGUAAGAUUGUUUACACUCCAUUUUUGUUAUUCACACUUCAAUAAUCAUUUUGAUCAUAUCAUUUUCAGUAAUUAGACUAUAUGAUAAAACAAAUGGUGGAAUUGCAAAUAAUAAAAAAUUGAGUGCAAAUAACAUUUUCUUAAGUAAGAAGUGGCUUACAUGCCUUUCUAAUUAAAAAAGUAGUGGCUCCGCUUACAUAGGAAUUUGGUUUGAAGUUUAUUAGUAGGAGGGUAAAUAAAAAGAAAACAUUGCCAAACUUAGUAAAAGUAAAAAAGUAAAUGAUAAUAUUUUAUCUUUAAACUUAGUAAUCCUAAGUAAAAGGGCAAAAUUAAAUAGAAAACAAAAAGGAAAUAAUGUCGUGGAUUUAAAAAAUCAAGAAUGGUACCAUUCAUGAAAUCCAUAUUAUGAAAUCACUAAAUAAAAAAUAAAGUACUACUAGCCUUUUAACGUGGAAACUUUUUUUUUGAAAUAUUCAUUUUUGAUAAAAAAUAAUGAUAAUAACAACACCAAUUCAACCAAAAAUUUUUUAAAAAGUAAUAUUAUAGUUUAAGAGAAAGAUAUAGAACAUUCAACCCUAAAAUACUACUUAAUUUGUAUAUAUCUGGCCCAAAUUUGACAAUAAAUUUGAAUAAGAGUGCAAAACCCAAACAUUAAGGAUAACUUUUGCUAUCAUUAAUUAUUUUAUGUAUUCUUAUUGCUGUCUUCAUAUGUAAAUAUGUAUUUGGUAUGUUAAUAUAUAUAUAUAUAUAUAUAUAUAUAUUGAUUGUAGUACUUGAGGAUAUUAUAGAUAUUAUCAGUUUUUCAUUUCCAUUUUUAGAUACUAAUAAUUGCAACCAUUGUAAUUAAUUUUUAAUUUUAUAUUUUCAUUAUGAUAGGUAAAGUUAAAUAUAUUGGGUCGCAGGGAUAUGAAUUUAGAGCUUAGGUAUAGGGGGAGGAGCGAGGGAAAAAAAUGGUGAGAUGUUGAAAAGUAGCAGGAAAGGUUGAAGAAGAAAUAAGGGUUACAAGGAUAGGCGGAGAAGGGAGAGAAGAAGAAAGGGGAUUGUAGGGAUAUGACAGAGAUGACAAAAAUAAUAAUAAUAAUAAUAGAGAGGGUGGUAUCAUGAUAGAAGAUAUGAAAGUGGUAGGAGGCAUCUGAUGACUAGUUGGCGUAUAAGAGAAGAGGGAAAUGAUGGUGAUUUUUAAUAAUUUUGAGAACUUUAAAAACAUAUAUUACGGAGAAUUUUUUUAAAUUAUACAUUAAAGUUUAGGAAAAAUGCUAAUCUAAAUGUAGUCAACAAUUUUAGGGGUACAAGAUACAAGAAAGAUUUUUUUUUCUAAAAAUGGAAGAAAAUAAAUUGGUUAUAAUUUAUUUUUUUUAUAUUAUAAGUUUUGAUAUAUGGGUAUAACAUAAUAUGUUUUGUCGGAUAUUGAUAAAUUGAUUCUUUUUUAUAAAACUCUUUUCACCUUACCACCCAACCUAACCCUCUCCUUAAAUGCGUUAACAAUUCUUUUAUCAUUUAAAUCAUUAUAUAUUAAAUUUUUUUUCAAGAUAUUAAGCAUACACUUCUUUAAAAUUUUUAGUCUAUAUAUAUAUACUUAUUAUUUUGUACCACAAUAUAAAUAUAUAAAAUAUUAUUUUGAUUUAAAAUAUAACCCCGUGCAUAGCACGGGUCAAAAUACUAGUAUAAUAAAAAGUGGGAUAGAGAGUUGCACAGGGUGUGAGACAGAAGAUUUGUUGCGCAUUCUAAUUCACCAUUUUUUCUCAGCUGCAAGUGCUCCUGCUCUCCACCAUCGCUUCUACCUCCGCCCUAACAUUUUGCCGCUUUCGCCACCGUUUCCCCCAUCGCUCUUCGUUUCAGCCAUCCCUCUUCCCUUCGCCACUCCUGCCAUGCAUCCACCCAUCACCUUGCCAAUCGCAAGACUAAUCCGAGUGCUCUCUCCUUCCCCCUGCUUAAUUUUCUUGAACUGGGUUCUUCAGUCUUGAAGGUAAUAUCUCCUAAGAAUUUGCACUGAAAUUUGACGUUUUCUUACAAAGCACUGCCUAACUCUUGAGUGCCAGAUAUUAAUUCUAGUAAUGGUUCUUGACUUUGGUUUUACAGCCCAGCAAUGGCUCAGAACCUACAGUUGGAAAGACCCUUCUUGAGGACACAGGUCUAUUUUUUUACAGAAACCUGGUACUUGAUUGGUGUAUGAGCUCUUUUAGCAUUUUCUCUGCUGUUCAAUAUUCUUUUUGUUGAAGUAUUGACAUUUUUAAAGCGUAAGCCCCACGUACAACCUUGUUAUCAUGCAAUUUUGGUUUCUAAUAUACUAUAUAGUAAAGAAGUCCAUGUCUUAAUUCCGUGGUGUCAACUUAACGUCAGCUCUAGGAGAUAAUAAAGCUGUUAUUCUUGAGGAUGAUGAGCAAAACAUGGAUAGACGGCAAGUUGCAUCACAUCCUGGAGGUUUGUGGUCUAUUCAACUCCAGCUUUUUGCAUAUGCAACUCAAAGAUAAAUACUCUGUGUCCCUUGAUAAAAUGAGUUCAGACUUUCGACAAGGUUUGAAACGUGAUAUAUACAUUUUCCCAAAAUCCAAUAUAAAGUUUAGUACUCAAUUAGCACUUAAAUUUAAUGGAUUCUAAAAGCACAAAAGGAGGAAGAAAUAAAGAAUCUAAAAUGCACAAAAGGAGGGGGAAAAUGGAUGGAGAAAGAAUCUACCGACAGAAAGAAAAUGGAGUAAAGAAAAUUGAGGUUAUUGACAUUCAACAAGGGAACUUAUUUCAUCCUAAAGCUGCAUUCCGGUGAUUUAAUUACUACUACUGCUGAAGUCUUUAGUAGUGGAUCGAUGCAAUUUUAGUCAAGUAAAUGAACUUGUAUUUGUCACGGUUGAUGGAUUCAAAUAAGCUGUGGUGUGAUUGUUCUCAACAAGACCACAAUUUCUUCUUUGCAUACUCAACCACAUGCACAUGAUUACUUUUGGGCAUAACUUUUAACAACAAUCAACUAACAUAUAAAAGGGAAUUAGUCAAUUGCUUAUGGAAUCAAGUUGAUUGCUGACACAUUUUCCUUUUCUAUGAUAAAGCUUAAAAUCAUUACUCUCUAACUUAUGUUAACAAUAUGGUGGUUUAAUAUGAUGGCCACAGUCAAUUGCUUAAAAGUUUCAGGUUUUUAUUCUUGUUCACACAUAUCUAGUAUGGCUAAAUCUAAAUCUAAAUCCUCAUUUCUAAGUAAUUUAUGUGGUAAACAGAAAGGUUUAACAAUAUAGAUGGGCUAAAAUAUCUUUGACUCAAGUUGAUCGUUGACUCAACUAAGCAAAGAAUCAACUCUGUUCUAUGUAUCCUAGCUAUGAGAUCUACAGCUUCAACAAAUUGAACCUGGUCAACUUAAAGCACCUUAGCACUUUCUACCGUGAUUGUAGGACUAACAUGUUUUGUUUAAGAAUAGCCUCCAAAAGCUUGGCCGUUAGUCGAACCAGUUUACCUGCUGUUAAUGUAGUUUUUCAAGCAGGGAUCAACAAUUACAUGCUUUAGUUUUCUUUUAACAAAAAAGAAAGAUUUUAAUGUUUGAGCCAUAAGUGAUUUAAUCACAUGUUAGUGCAUUACUAAUCCAAUUAGUGACCUCUGGUUUUAGUUUUUUGAUGCCACAACAUAGUUAUUAUAUUAAAAAAGAGCCCUUAUGAUAAAUAUCACCUAACACAUAUAUUUUGACACAAUAUGUCUUGAUCGUAGGUGCACCACUAACUUUAUUAAGUAUGCUACAAGUGAGUAAUAUUAUAAACUAGAAAUUGAUGAUGAUCAGUCAAUAAGUCUGUCAUUAAGUCUAUAACAUGAAUCUUAUUGUUAGUCACCGUUUACUUACUAUCUAUGAUAACUAUCCUAUUUUGUUUAAAUUGAUCUAUAGCUAUAGCUAAGUUGUGCUGAAACUAGUUAGAAUGAUUAUGGACCUAUAAUAUAAUUUCAUGUGGACACAACAAUAACCCGCUUAUUUCUAUACUAUUAGUCUAUUCUUGUCUAGCUUGAAAAUCAUCUUAUACAUGUAAUUAUCACUAAUUACUAGUUUAUAAACCGAUCAACUUGUCAACAUAAACCCUGAUCUUGUUGGUAUCAAUUUGCAGGAACCAGUCAUGGACUAAAAGCCGCUUCAAAUUGCUUUAUGUUUUCUUGGUGAUUAAUAUGAUAUUCAUCCAUUUCUUUGAAAAAAAGAAAAGUUAUCCAUUUCGUACUAAUACUUGAUAUGGUGAUUCUGAAUUGCAGAAUUUGGAUAUUGACAUGGAUAAAGAAGGAGAUGAGUAAAAAGCAAAAAAGAGAGAAGUGAUAGUUGCAAAUUAUAUGAUAACAGUAACCGCAUUAGUAGUUUGGUGGCAUGAGAAACAUAUAGUAAAGAAGCCUUAUUUUGACUUUAAAGUAGCACCUGAAAUAUAUCAAAUGCGUCUUUACUAUGGAAACAGCAGAGUUUGUGUAGAACAACUUCGACUCAAUAAUUGUUUUACUGUUUUAUGUACAAAUUUAAGAGAGCAUUGUGGGUUGAGGGAUACUAGAAAUAUUAUUGUUGAAGAAGUAGUUGCAAUAUUUCUCUAUGUUCUUGCUCAUAACUUUAAGAAUCGCAUUGUCAAUUUUAAUUUCAUAAGAUCAGGUGAGACAGUUAGUCAAUACUUUAAUAUAGUUCUUAACUUUAAAAAAAGUAUCAAGGCUUUAACUUGAUAAAUAUUAACUACUUUUUAAGUUAGAAUAUAUAAUUAUUUUUUAUUUAAUAUAAUUUAAUUAAGAAAAAAGAAACAAGAAUAAUAUUUUUUUUUGCAGAAAAGGAACUAAUUUUUUUUUCUAAUUAUUUUUUAAAGCUUUAGUAACAAUUAGUUAAAUGCAAGAAAAAAUAAAUUAUUAAAGGCAUUAAUUGGUUUUUUCCUUAAAGCUUUAGUAACAAUUACCUAUAUGUUAAAAAAUUAUUAUAUAGUAAAAAAAAAAGAAAUUUUUUAUGAAAGGAAAUGUUAGUUGGAAACAAUUCUAAUUCUUAACGAAUUCUUCUCCCAUCCAAAUAAAGAAUUUGAAAUUCUGAAUGAAUUCUGUAUCAAUGUUAUGCAUUUCCCAAACAAAAGAAUUCCAAUAUUUUGGAAUUCCAAUUCUGUAGAACCAAACGUACCCUAAAUUUACACAAAAUUCGUAGCAUCGGGGACCACAUUUGCAAAAGUCAAAAGUUUGGGGACUACAUAAGUUAUAAAAUGGAUCGAUUAUAGCGUAAUUUCCAGCAACAUGGGGGUCUUUUGUUUUGUUGGGUGUAGUCCAUUGGGUUGCCCGUGAACCGCGUGGGAAAUUGUUCAAUUAUUUAACCUUUGCAAAUUGGUGGGUGCCCCGCCACCUCUUUCAAUUUUUUUUUUUUAAUAUAAGUAGGAUCCGAAUCUCUAAUUUACAGCUCAAAAGAGAGACUUUAAUCUUUUUUAAAUGGCCACUACCUUUGCAAGUUGGCAAGCUAUCCUGUUUACAUAAAGGUUGGGAUUUUACUGUGGAAUAUGUGUUGGCAGAUCCAGGCGUGAAUAAGUUAUUUAACAGCUGAAUAUUGGAAGAUAACAUUACAAUAGUCAAAAAAAAAUUUACUGCUAUUGUCUAUUGUGCAUCAUCCUGGAAAAUUCAAGCAACUAUUUUAGAAAAUGACUCUCAUAAUUAUGGUCAAGCCAAUCCAACAGUGCUACCAAGCUCGAAAAUACAGCAAAAGGUAAAAUGCUUUGAAACCGGAUCGACAAGUGAAUUGGAUGAGCUUCCUAUUUAUGGCUCAAUCAAUUCAACCUGUUAAACUCCGAUUUAAUGAUUUUAUAAAAUUUUAAUUAUAUUAACGUUAAAUAAUUUGAAUAACAUUAAUGUAUAAAAAAUAAUGAAAAAUCGGUCCAAAGGCCGGUUUUUUAACUGAUCCAAUAGUGCUCCCAAGCUUGAAAAUAUAGCAAAAGGCAAUAUUUUGAAAUUGGGGCCUACAAGUGAACUGGAUGAAUUUUUUAUUCAAUUAAUUUUGCGGUUCAAUCUCUGUUUAGUGAUUUUAUUAUUUUUUUGUUUAUUUUAAAAUUAAAUUUUUUGGAUAAAAUUAAUAUAUGAGCUAGAAAUAAAAUUUUUGUGUAAAACCAGUUCAAAGACCUUUUUUUUUCUUAUCGAUUUUGAUUCAUCUGAUCGAAUUUGAUUGAUUCAAUUGAGUUUCUGGGUUAAAUAUAGAAAAACAAAUUAUUCGGGAAAUCACUAAACCUUUUUAAUAGUCAAGAUUUAGCCACUCAAUUAUUAAUAGUAUGUUGUUUUCCAUUAAACUAUUAAUAAUAUCAAUUUUGUGCCAUUUCAUCUAAUUUCACUAUUGACUCUGUUAGAUCUAAGGGUCUACACAAGAUAUAUUAGUAAUGGUUAAAUCUGGUAGAGUUAAUGACAAAUUAGAUGGAAUGACCUAAAAUUUAAAUUUUUAAUAGUUUAGUGGGUAAAAACUUAGCUGGCCACUGUAUCCCGAGCCCAUGCACCUUCCUGAGUUCUGAGAUAGAGGUUUGGAGGGGGUGCCUAGGCAUCAAAGUGCUCCUUUCUCUUGGUGGAGGGGGUGCCGGGGCAGGGAGAGGACCAAUCCUGGCUUCUCCCGAGGAUGCUCGCGACGUUGCAGCCUACCUCUGGAACAAUUAUUUGGGCGGUCAAUCAAACUCUCGUCCAUUUGGUGAUGCUGUUUUAGAUGGUAUAGAUUUUGACAUCGAAUAUGGAUCGAACCUGUACUGGGAUGAUCUUGCCCGGGACCUCUCGGGAUACAGCAUAGCAGAGAGAAAGGUGUACUUAUCUGCAGCACGACAAUGCUUCUUUCCUGACUAUUAUCUUGAUGCUGCUAUCAGAACUGGCCUCUUUGAUUUCGUCUGGG